CCCCGGGCCUGCCUUGUAAAGGAGGACGAGGCUUAGCGUUAACAUGAAUCCUAGUCGGUUACGACUGACCUAGAGUCCAGCUCGAACUUGGGGCCCUCUCCUACGCCAAGUUGGUGGUCUUCUAGAAUGAGGACCACCUGCGGGAUGAGGGGACUGGGCUACGCCUCAGCCUACUAGAACAUCAAGCCCACUGAUGGGUCGUCUUCCCCGCGUGUCGGAUACUCCCAGUACAUUGUAUCGUCACAUAGUAAGGAUUGCUGGCCUAGAUUGUGCACCAAACAUCAUGAUCAUAAUUUAGUUGCUCCAGAUGGCAAAAGAAAACCUUAAAACGAUGUUGAAAACCAAAACCAGCACAAACUUCACUAAAAAAACUUUGGAGAUAUGGGUUUGGAUACCAUGUCACCACCCAACAAACUCUUGGGACAUGUAUGUAAGUUGCCAUUUUUUUAUAAGGGGCACACAUAUAAGUAAUAUGGGUUGGACUAUAGCAUAAUAAUAAUGAAGCACUCACAUUUAAAAAAAAUACAUAAAUGAGUCAAAUUGUAGCAUAGUAGACUGUUGGCCUAGAUUGUGCCAAACAUUAUGAGCAUAUAACAUAGUUGCUCGAGAUGUCAAAGAAAACCUUUCUCCGAAAAAAUGUCAAAAAACCAAAACAGGCACACAGUUCAUUCGAAAUAUGGGUUUACAUACCAUGUCACCCCCCACCCCACCCCCACCUGCGCGCCCCCAACGAACUGUUGGGACAUGUAUAUAAGUUACUAUUUUUAUAAGGGAGAAAAAUAUAAGUAAUAUGGGCUAGACUAUAGUACAAGAACAUUGAAGCACUUGCAUUUUAAGAAAUAUACAUAAAUGAGUUGAGCCAUAGCUUAGUACGAACUGUUGGCCAUAGUGCACCAAACAUUGUGAUCAUAAUAUAGUUUGCUCCAGGUGAUAAAGAAAAUCUUUCUUCAAGAAUGUCAAAGAAAACCAAAAUUGGCACACAGUUCAAACCGAUCGACGUAGGAAAGAUAAAAAUCACCAAGUUUGCGAAAUCAACCAAAAACCCAUAGUUACCAAACAACUUACUGAAGCUUUCGGGCUGAGUUGACCCCACCGUACCGUUAUUAAAGCAGUUAACUCCUUAUGAUGGUUCAGUCAUAAGAUAUACAAUAACAUACAAUGGAAAACAAAAUAAUGAAGCAAGUAACCAACGGAUUCUUGAAGUACAUGUCUUUGUGCAACAAAGCAACAGAUGGCUGAUGAAUAAACAUAUAUUUUAUUGGAUAAUUUGAAUAUCUAGAUAAUUUUUUGUCGUCUACCUACAUGAUGGUAACAUAAGCACAUAAAUGAAGGGGUGGUAAAUGGUAAUAGGAUUACCAAAAACAGUAGAAAUAUUCAAUAAGGCCUACAUAGUAUCAGAAAACGAUGGAGCAACAGAAGUACACAAACCUCGAAGUGCAUGCAGUAUCAUCCUAGGAUUGACAGAAUCAGGAGAACUAUUCCUCAAUCUUUCAAUCAGAUUCGCACAUUUCCUGAACAAAUUUCUUCCUUUUGGGUCUUCGCUUAGACGAAAUAUCUUACAAACAAACUCAAGCUCUCGUACUAAGGCAUCCCUAUCCCAACCAGGAGCACAUUGUUGAAACACAUCCUUAACCCAACCGAAUAAUUCUGAUGUCUUCUGGCAAGCCUGGCACCUAAAAAGCAUUUCCGCAUGACCGGUGCUGCUCUUAAUUGAUUGCCCUGUCCCAAUCUGGCCAACACGAAUCGCACAGUCAGUGUGUGUCCAAUGGGAACAGAAAUCGCACCCAACCCAUCGGCAUGUGUUGACCUCAAAAUCAAACUUGUUGCAAAUCACACACAUGCAAAGGUUGCAAAACCCGUUUCUGUUAGCACAUACAUUGCAUCUGCACUCCUCAGCCGGGAGAGCACUCUGGCAAGCAAUGUUCCGGCACCUCUUAUACAAGAAGACCUCCACCAGGUGGCUUUGGGGAAUGGUGACGCUGGGGUGCAAAAACGCCUGGAUUCCAGUCUUGAUUGCCACGAGGAUCUCCAGUUGGACAUGAUGGGCCACAGAAAGCAUAGUUGGUGUCAAAUCACCUCUGCCCUGGACAAACUUCUGCAGAUACAGAAACUCCUCAAUAUGAUGCGAACCCCCUGUCCCCUCCAGAAUUGACCUCAGCUCAUUUUUAAUCUCCUCCAGGUGCUCCUCUGGCAUUACCUUCAUUUUCUCGACAACUAGGUCCACUCUCUCCCGCGCAAUCUCCCUCAGGGACACCCUAUCGAUGCGGGAGCUUCCGCGAAUAACCUGCAACUUGGGGAUACCAUUUCUGACAUCCUUUUCCAUCUCCACCUUCUUCGCAGCACCGCCACUACCAGCAGCAGCAGCAUUGCUCUGUUCUGGCUCUACAGGCCAGGUCUCCCUCGAACUUGCACUUUCGGUAGCAGAGUCAUGGCCCUGGUCAGAAUUGGACACAGGUUCCUGCAUUUCAGGCGAGCCAACCUGUUCCGACGAUGCCAGUGAGAGGGAAGUCUGCAGGCUCGGAGCCCGAGCACCAUGGCGAGGCGGCAGCAUCCCCUGGGGCGGAGGCUGUUGAUGGAAAUUCGCACCUGAAGAAGUCCCCAUGAUGCACAAACUGUAAGCUGCGACAACACAAAGUUCAAACACUUAAUACUACAUACAAGAAUGGUGUAGGUAUUGAAAACAUAGCAUCGGCAUAGGACCUAUUUGAGCCACUGUGCUCUGCACCUUGAGCAGCUAAGGACCGGAUCCGAAUUAAACAACGACUAGGUUCAUCACAAACCAAAUCCAGUGCUACAACGGUACCUUCCGCACAUCUCUCAGUGAAGAGACAUGUAAAUCACGAACCAUUCGCCGAUUUAGCUAACUUGGACCCUGCCUUCCCGCUGCGUACGGGGAGCUAGUCAAGACCUGUGAUGAGCUCGCGUAGAGCACGAGACCCCCAUCCCCACCCCCACCCCCGAGUCCACAGCAAGAACCCCAUCGAUCGAACUAACCGGGACAGCCAAACCUCAGUAUGUGAGCACAUGCCUUGCUACCAUAUAUGGGGACCAAACCCUAGCAGUCGGGGCCGAAUCGGGAGUCGAGCUGCCCACCUCGGCAAGGCGGAGCGACGGGAUCGGCGGCAGGACAGCUCUAUCCAAUCGGAACCCGAAACGGCGGUGGAUUCGCCCUGCCAAAUAUUUGGCGUUUGACCACGGCAUGGGCGUUUGUUUGGAUGAUGACCGAUUAUUUGGCUCGCCCUCAGCCCAGCAGUUUCACCCAUUCAAUACAUAGCCAAUUUUUUGGCGAUCCCUGGGCGGCGGAAUCCUGCGCCAAAGAAUUGGCGCGCUCAUCGUUGGCUGGGCAAACGUGGGCAGGAUCCAAACGGCCCUUAGAUGUGGAGCGGCCGGCUGUGCUGGAGAGGGAGGAAAGGGGCCAGCGGCGCAGCAGAUGGAGGGAGGGAAAGGGCCGGCGGCGCAGCAGAUGGAGGGAGGGAAAGGGCCGGCGGCGCACCUGAGAGAGGGAGGAAGAGGGCCAGCGGCGCACCUGAGCAGGAGGGAGGAGGAGGUCGAGCGGCGCAAUGGAGACGAGCAGCUAUAGGUUUGCGGGAGUGGGGAGGAGUCUUCUUCCGCGUGAUUCUGUGGAUUUGGAGGUCUCGGCAAGUUCCCCAAUCUCAUACGAAUUAUACUCCUUCAAGAGGGAAAUGCUGGGUGCCUCGCGGGUCCCACGUCGUGCACAGCGGUGGGCGUAGACAUCGAUUGAAAAAAAAAAGAUGAAAUACAUAUGCUCUAACUAGCCACUCAGGUUGUAAGAGCAUCUCCAACAGCCGCGCUACGCGCCGCGCCUAAAAAACCUGUUUACCGCGCGCUGGUCGCCUGGUUUGCCGCGUCGCGCAGCGCUGGCUCCAGCAGCAGCUUUAAAAUGCAGCGCGCGCGCUCCGCUCCAGCAGCGCGCUAAAAUGCAGCGCGCGCCGCUCCAGCAGCUUUCAAAUAUAGGGCAUAUGGACACAAAAUAGUUUGAAACAUUCAUCAAAAUGCAAUGAACAUGUGAAAUUUUUAACACAAACAAGUUGAUGAAUAAAAGUCAUGCCCACAAGUUCAUCCAACCAAGUUCAAAAUGCAAACCAAGUUCAAAAUACAAGUUCAUCCAACAAAGUUGAAGACAUAAACACAUCAACCAUCUUCCUCGUCUUCUUCCUCUUCUUCCUCUUCUUCCGCCGACGAUUCUUCCGCCUUCGAAGAUGAAUCUUCCUCCCUAACCUCAUCACGCACCGCAUCACGUGUAGCUCCGACGGUCUUGGCAAGUUCUUCAACGGCAUUUUUAUGGGUAUGUGUGUGAGGCACAUCGAAAGACAUUCCACCCAUGGCCGGAGGUGCACCCAUGCCUCCCAUGGCGACCGGAGGUACACCCAUGCCUCCCAUCAGAGAAGCAAAACUCAUGCCACCCAUGCCUCCCAUAGCGUUGGAGGGUGCUCCAAAGCCACCCAUGCCUCCCAUAGCGUUGGAGGGUGCUCCAAAGCCACACAUGCCUUCCAUAGCGUUGGAGGGUGCUCCAAAGCCACCCAUGCCUCCCAUGGCGGCCGGAGGUGCACCCAUGCCUCCCAUGGCGCCGAAGCCACCCAAGCCUCCCAUGGCGCCGAGGCCCAUGCCUCCCAUGGCGCCGAGGCCACCGCCACCCAUGCCGCCAAGGCCACCGCGGAUCAUGGCUCUUUUUUGAAUCAAGACUUCUUCACGGGCAAGGUUGACAUAUUCCUUUUGCGCAUCAUUGAACAAAGAUGUGUCCAAGAAGAACAAGUGCUUUUCCCAUUCCAACAACUUAGCUCGCUCCUCCAUGCCCACCUUCCUCUCCUCCAAUGCCACUUUCCUCUCCUCGGUGGCCACCCUCCUCUCCUCGGCCGCCAACCUCCUCUCCUCGGCCGCGGCAUCUUGGUUCCUUGCCAUUUUCCUCACCUCGUUCGCUUCUUUUCUUGCCUUCACAAUAGCUUCCAUAGCAUUUGUGAGCUCAUCAUCUCCUUUCCUCUUCUUCUUUUCGGUUUUGUCCUUCUUGCACCCAUCCGGUCGUUUUGGUUUCGAGUAUGAAACCGAGUUGGGUGUGGGGCUUCUCUUGCCGUCAUCACUUGAUGCAUCAUCCUCCUCCUCAUAAUCAUUCAACUCAAUUGUGCGCUUGCGUUUGUUGCUCAAAUGCAAAUCAUCCAAAUCUUCACGCUUCUUCCAUUUCUCAUCAUCCUUCAACACUUCAUAGCAAUGAGGCAAGGUAAAGAUCUUUCCUUUCUUGAUCUCCCCCUUCUUGGUUGUCCUCGUCUCUUCUUUGAACAAGUUUUGUGCAAUGUUGUACUACAAGAAAAACAAAACAAGUUAGCACUUCGGACACCAAAAACAAGUAUGAUGAACAUGUAUGAGAUGCCACUUACUCUAUCAUCCUCAUUUGUGCCACUUGGGUUAAGCUUGUCAACUGCCUUAUGUGCGGCCGCCCACUUUUGACAAUCCGAGUUGAUUGUCGACCAUCGGGACCGAAGUGAUCUCUCGGAGCGGUCAAUUCCACUCACGUUCUGAGCAUCAAAGUGUUCUUUCAUUCGCCCCCAAUAAGCAUCUCUACUUUGAUCACCUCCAACGGAUGGAUCCCUCGACACUUGCAACCAAGUAUUGCAUAGUAAUUUGUCAUCGUUGGUGGUGUAAUUGCCCGCUNNNNNNNNNNNNNNNNNNNNNNNCGCUCUUCCUUUCGGUGCCUCGACAAUGCCCUCACCCUCCUCGUCCACCUCAAACUCAUGGUCGUCCAAAUGGAUGUCAUUGGUUUGAGACCAACGCGAAUUGUUGGACCCAACACCCAUUGUUGACAUGUAUGCAUCAUCGUUGAGACUACAAAUGCAAAUAUAAGCUAUCUAUAUGAUGAUGCAUUGAAAAAAUAACAAGAAAAUAAAAGUUGGAAUUUUUUUCACCUUGGGAGCAUUUCGUCGAACACGUGGUGCGCGUCGGCCGCCGGCUCAACGAGUGAGCUCAUCGGCACUUCGGUAGACGCCGCGCCCGUCCGCCGCCCAGCAAGCUUCUUCUUCGCCUUCGAGCUGCCGGAGCCGUCCGCCGCCUGCGGCGGCAGCACGGGACGGCGCCGGCGCGACGCCACCCGUCGGCGUGGUCAUCUGCGGCGGCAAGAAGAGGCUGCGCGCGAGGCCGACGGUCGGCGGAGCUCCGGUGGCGGCGGCGGCGCCAGCGCCAACGCUCGCCGCGCUAGGGUUUUCGGCGGCGGCGGCGGCGGCGGCGGCGGGAGUUUCGCGGCUGUACAGCGGGGUCAGCGGGGCGCCGGUGUGCGCGUCCAUGGUGGCCGGGGCGCUGGCGCCGACGCGCGCGGGUGCGAAGUAGGAAGGAAAGGGCGAGUUCGCGCGCGCGCUCGAGUCUGCCGCGCGCGGAAGUGGACGCCCGAAAUUAACCGCGCGGGAUGAGGCUAUGGCCAGCGCGUCCAACUCGUUUUAGCGCGCGCGCGUUUUUUGCGCGCCCGCUGGAGCUGUCGGCCGCGUUGCGCGCGCGCUAUAGUCCCUUUUUUUGCGGCGCGGUGCUAGUAUAGCGCGGCUGUUGGAGAUGCUCUAAGGGGGGCGGGAUGCGGCAGUCCGCCAGGCACGAAAACAGGAGAAAAAAAAUUAGCGGGACAUCUCGGCUACCCGCCUCACGCCGCUUAAUUAUUAGCGGACAAUGUACAAUCCCAGCAUUGUAUUACAUCGCACAGUUAUCACAAGACUGCAAGAGCACAUGUAUCACUGUCAGCUGCUUGGUUUCAGCCGACAGCAGCGUGCACAUAGAAAAACAUAUUCAGGAAACAAUGUACAGCAAGAGAACCCUUUGAAUUCUGAAACACUUUGCUUAUUCAGUUAAGUCAACAUGAAUAAUUCUAAUACUGCUAGACCUAAAACAUGAAAAAUGGCUAUUCCAAAUCAGAUUAAUCGAUUAACCCAAGUAGCUUCAGAUGCUUCAUCGCUUGUACAAAAAGCUUGAUCUUCUGGGCCUAAUACUGCUGCUGAUGCCAAGGGUCUUCGAAUAUGCUGCAUGGAGGUUCUGCAUAUGAAUACGAUGUAACAUGCUUAGUCAUUGGAUGAAAUUAGAAUACACUAGAGAGAAGAACAAGUUGGUAUAUAUCUCAUCUUCUAGAAAAGAAUUCCACUGCCACACUAAACUCAUGAGAAAGUUUCCUACUAGCUCUGGCUUGAAUAAUAAUAUGUACAUGUUCAUAGAAAAUUAACUGAGUUUACUAGUUAACCUUCUGUUGUCAUGAUUCAUGGAAAAGAAACAAGCAUGCAAGGUUUUGAUGAUUCAUGGAAAAGAAACAAGCAUGCAAGGUUUCACAGGAUUGCAUUACCAGAUACCACAUCCAUCCACUACUUGAUUGCUCAUAAAUAUAGAAUGUUGCAAACGAAUCUGAACAAGCAGGCAAGGGGAAUUCCUUACUGUAGGUGGUGGAGGCGAUGGCAACGAAUCCUCUGCUCGCCGCGCUGUCGGCCUUUGUUGUCCGAUCGCAGGGGCUGGCAGGCAGGGAGUCAGUGCGAGGGCAAAGCCGGGACUCCUUGACUGCGGGCAGGGUUGUGACAGCCCGAUGCCGACGUUCCAGAAGAUUCACCUCUUUUUCCGUCUUCGUCGUGUGGCUUAUUUUAUUUGUCGCAUCAUCAUCGCAUCAUGCGCAUCAUCAGCAUUGCAUCGGCAUCUCCGCUGCCGUCAGUUUUCAAAACUUGCAUUCGUUAGUAGUCGCCAGUUCUCGUCGUUGUCCGUUCCGAGCCCGACCGCACUCGCACGCGCCCGCGGCACCGUCGAAACCCUGUUUUAAAUGUGUGCGUUAAACUUUCUCUCAUCGGGUUGAGAUUUGACGUGCGGUGUUAUUUUAAUAUAGCUAGGCCGCCUGUCGAAUUUCGUCGCGAUCGGACUCCGUCUGGUACCCGAACGGUCGACCGUAGCGGCACCGUAUUCGGUCUACCGUCGGACGUCUGUCGGUGUUUUAAAAUUCGUUGCCGCGCCGCCCGUUCUCCCUCUCAUCUCCGGUAAACCACCCUACAUGGCCGCGUACCCAUACCCGCGUUCGGAAUCGUCCGAAUCCGACCGCACGGUUGGAUCCGGAACGAAAUUCCGGCUAACCUAGCCCCCCCCCCGUUUGUCUAUAUAAAGACGCCCAAGCAUUUAUUUCAGCCCCCCUCUCUCGGCCUCGAAAACCGUGCAUACCCUAACCCUAUCCACUCUCUCUCUCCUCCCUCCCUCCUCUGCGCAGCCGCCGGGCCCGCCGAGCCCAGAUCGGGCCCGGGCAGGCCCAUCUGCCGCCGCCGGCGCCCCGCGUCUGGCCAAGGAGCCCUCUGCCCCGAGCCCCUCAUCUCCCUGCCCCAAGCGCCCCUCGCCGGAGGUCGCUGCUGCCUCUCGACGGAGAUCGCCGUGCCCAACUGUCGGUGCUCGCCGCCCCGACCUGCAGCGUCGUUCCUCCCUGCUCGAGCCCCAACCGUGCUGCAUCCAUCAGCCCUCCGACAUGCUGCUGCUCCCGAGACCACCGUCGCCCCUCGGCCUCCUGCAACCGCUGGCCGCCGCCCUUGCCUAGAUCCGGUGGCCGAGGACCGGAUCCGGCCAUCCCUCGCGUCGGCAGCCACCGGGGCCCGACGAAGCCGCCGUUGCCAUCGCCCUGUAGCGCUCGGGACGAGCAACCGUGCGCCAGAUCAAGGGAGCCGACGCCACGACAGCAGCUCGCCUGCCUGGGCCGCCUCGCCCCGACUGGGCCGGCCUCCCACCGGAGGCCCAGCUAGCUAGGCCUAGCGCACCCUCGCCUCGGCCCGAGUCCAGCUAGGUGAGAUCCCCUCCACUUCCUCUAUUGUGCGCCCUGUGCGCCCUUUAGUUUCACCGCGUUCACCCUGUUAGGCCCGUUUAGCAUCAGACUCGGCCCGAGUGGCAUUUUUUUUAUUUUCUAGCGAUUUAUUAUUUUCAGGGAGAAGACGUAUAAUAAAAUGCCCGUAGAAUAUUAUCCGUAGAUCGGAUAGAGACGUAUUUUAUAUGGUUUUGGGGUAGCUUCGCGAGUAGAACACGAAUCCACAACUUGCAUAUUUAUUUGACGCCAUUUAGAGUGCCUAAUGCGUUGUUUUGCAUGCUGUUUCACUAGAACCCGUUCCGUAGUUAUUUCUCGUUCGUGUCCGGACUGCCCGUAUACCGUAGAUUAAAUGUCCAUGUUUUAGGGACCAUUAAUCCAUGUAUUUUAGAGCGUUCAUUUGUAUUUUUGCGUAUAGGGAAUUGCCUCUAGUUUAUUUUCCCGUAUAUAGGCAAUUUAUCUCGCAUUAAUGUGUGGCUUUAUUUUGUGGUGCAAACCCCACAUAUUUUAUAUGUUUUCGGGGUAGAAAAAUCCCAUGGAUUUUUCUGUGCAAUUAUUCUUAGCUUUUGAGUGAGUUAGUUCGCGCGAUAUUUUGCCGUGAUGCCCUUUUGUUUAAUUCGUAGGAUUUAAUCCGUUCUUCGUUUGACGGAGUUGUCAACUAGGGAGUUGAUCUUGGAUGUUUUGUUUAGCCCCUGGUAUUUUUAGUUGCAAUAGAAAUGCAUGUUAGGGUGUGUUUUGCUUGCUCUCAAGUUGCUAGAAAUAGUGCUGUUUUGGACGUGCUGAAAUAUUUCCAAGUCUGGAAUCUGUUAUAUUUUGUUGCUGUCUUGUCUUGCUUUUAUCUUGAGUUCUAUAGCUCUUUUGAGGUUGGUCCAAUGGAGCUAGUUGUACCCCUUGUGUAUCUCUAGCAUGCUGUAAAUUUUCAUGCCAUUUGGAGACCUGUAGCUUAGGAUUUUGCUGCUGUCAAUAUUGCUUCAGAUCGAAAACUGCACUUUCAUGAGGUGUAAUUUUCACUAAGUCUGAAAUAGUGUGUGAGAAGCCAUUUUGUGACUUCUUUUCGUAGUGUUCCNNNNNNNNNNNNNNNNNNNNNNUUUCCCUAGUGUUCCUUGCUGCCAUGCUAGUUGUUGUUAGUUGUUUCUUGUAGUGCUUCUUGCCCUCUUUCGUGUCAUGCCUUGCUUGAGUUUAUCGGAGUUGUGUAGCUCGUAGUUGUGGGGUGUAGCAAGUGCUAUGUGGCUGAUUUUGGUAGAUUGUAGUGUUUUCUUGUUUUGCUCGUAGAUUUUGAUCCGUAGCUCCGAUUAGAUCGUGUCCUACAUGAAGCUUGCUUAGAAUCUCUUAUAGUUUCAUGUUCUCUUGCUGUUUGUUUGUUUUGAAGUGCUCGUGACCGUCGUUGCACACAUAUUGCAGUCAUGCCAUCAUAUCUUGCGAUGCUUGUAACUUUUCAUCCAUAGCUCCGUUGGAGAUGUUCUUUAUGUGCAGAUUGCCUGAAAUGACGCGUAGAAUCACGUGAACCUAUUUGUUUUGCUGUUUAACAACUAAUUAAAGUUGUUAAUUCAGAUCUGGACAGAAUUGUAAAUUAACAUGUGAGGUCGUUUCGGAGGUGCUAUAUGACAUUUCCGACCUCAUUUAAAAUGCCUAGGUAGGUAGUUUAAUUGCGCUUUACCUCUUGCCAUGUUUAACCACAUUUAAUAUUGCCGUGUAUCUAAUCGGGAUAGAACUAAAUAAUAAACGUGGAGUUUCGUCAAUAUGCAACUCGUUGCAUAUUGAACUUCACUUAAUGUGUAGUGUUUGUUUGUCGUGAAUUGUCAUGCCGUGCCUUGCAUGUUUUCAGCUUCUCAUGCAUCAUUUGUGUCGUGCAUCGUGUGGUGAAUAUCGUGUGUUGAUUCUUGUUUCCGGUUUUCCCCGUCUCGAUAGAGUCCGCAAGCGUGUCGGAUGUGAGGACCCGUUCGACUACGUCGGUUCGUGUGCUUCACGGAGUCAUUCUUCUUCCAAGCGGGAUCUCAGGCAAGAUGAUCAUUUCCCCAGAUACCAUUACUAUCAUUGCCAUGCUAGUUUUACCUUUGCUACCAUUUAUGUCUCGUUGCCUACCACAUGUUAAAUAUCAGCCUCUCAACCAUGCCAUGUUAACCUUCAACCUGUUCGACCUAGCAAACCACUGAUUGGCCAUGCUACCGCUUGCUUAACCUUGUGUUAGCGUUGCUAGUUGCAGGUGCAUUGCUUCCAUGUGAAAGCAUGGGUUCCUUGUUAUAUCACCAUAUUUAAAUGCUAUUUAAUUUAAUGCACCUAUAUACUUGGUAAAAGGUGGAAGGCUCGGCCUUUCUAGACUGGUGUUUUGUUCCACCUUUGCCCCCUUUAGUUACCGGCUACCGGUGUUAUGUUCCAUAAUUGAGCGCUCCUAACACGAUCGGGGUUGUUAUGGGGACCCCCUUGAUAAUUCGUUUUAGAUUAAAGCUGGUCUGGCAAGGCCCAACAUUGGUACUACUUUUGCCUAAUCACCUAAUAAACUUGCAUAGGGACUUUCCGGACCCCGAGGAUAAUUUAAUCAACCCCCGGGCCAGUGAUCCUCAUGAGUGUUGGUCCAAAUUGGCAGACUACGGGGCCACCGCGGGGCAACCCGAGGUUUGGUCUCCUAGUGUGACCCAUCCGCCGUGUCCUGAGAACGAGGUACGCGACUCCUAUCGGGAUCGUCGACACGUCGGGCGGCCUUGCUGGAUUAGUUUUACCUUUGACGAGAUAUCUUGUGCAUCGGGAUUCCGGUGAUGCUUUGGGUAAUCUCAGAGUUGAGGUUUUCCACUAGGGAAUCCGACGAGAUCGCAAGCUUCGUGAUUAAGGAUUUCUAUGCGGCUUGUGGUAAUUUGUGAUGGACUACUUGGAGCACCCCUGCAGGGUUAAAUCUUUCGGAAAGCCGUGCCCGCGGUUAUGUGGCAACGUGGAAACUUUGUUUAACACUGGUUCUAGAUAACUUGAAGUUAACUUAAUUAAAACUUGCCAACUGUGUGCGUAACCGUGAUUGUCUCUUUCGUGAGUUCCUUCUCCGAUCGAGGACACGGUGGGGUUAUGUCUGACGUAGGUAGGUGUUCAGGAUCAUUCAUCUGAUCAUGAGUAGUUCUCGUCCGUUAUGCGUAGAUCUUCCCCCCCCCUCUUAUUUCCUGUACUCAUAAGUUAGCCACCAAACAUAUGCUUAGCCGCUGCUGCAACCUCACCACUUAACCAUGGCUCACCCAUUAAGCUUUGCUAGUCUUGAUACCUUUGGAAAUGAGAUUGCUGAGUCCCCUGUGGCUCACAGAUUACUACAACACCAGUUGCAGGUACAGGUAAAGGUUACUUGACGCGAGCGCGUUGAUUGUUCAUUUGGAGUUGCCUCUUCUUCUUCUUCUUCAUCGAUCUAGGAUGGGUUCCAGGCCGGCAGCCUGGGAUAGCAAGGAUGGACGUCGUUCUGAUUUUUCUCGUUUGUUUUCGUCCGUAGUCGGACCCUGCUCUUACUCUUGAUGUAUAUGUAAUGUACUGAUGUGACUCUGAUGUAGCUUGUGGCGAGUGUAAGCCAAUUUCUAUACAUUUCUCUUCUUUUCAGUACAUAUACUUGUAACGAUAUCCAUUCUUGCGACACGACGAGAUGCGCUACUAUCCCUGACGAGGCCUUCGUGCCAAAUUGAGGAUAGGGUCGCAUCUUGGGCGUGACAAGUGUGGCUGCGGGUCUGAGCGAGAGGGUGGGCGAUGGUGGACGACAAGGCGAGAGGAGCUAGCAUAGGGCGUCGGUGGCGCGAGGAGGGAGGGAGACGAAGGAGACGGCGCCGUGGGAACUUUCCCCAUCGAGAGGAGAGGAUGUUUUUUUUUCUUCGAGAAGGUAAAGUUAUACGGGAUAUGCGGGAUGUACAGUUGUCCCCUGGACAAAGCGGCGUGGCCGCUUCAACCCGUUGUAGUCCACGUGGUCAGCCCGGUGGCACUUUGUUGGUCUUUUAUGUGGGGCGGCGGGGCGGCCCAGCGGGAUGUCCCGUGCCGCCUACAACCUUACUAGCCACGACCUAACAAGGAGGAUGUGCUUAUUCUUUUGCCGUCGCGAGCAAUCCUCCUCGCCCAUUUCCUCUGCAUCAGAUCUCGGCCUCCGGGCCUCCACCUCUCUCCCACAUGUGACAAUGACGUGCCCGCGGGGAUGGAGGGACAUUGGUAGGGCAACCUCAUGAGAUGGCAGUGGCGUGGAAGCCCUUUUCCUCAUCCUGUCAAGCGUUGGAUUCAACCAUAGCGUCACGAGAUCGAGGUGAACUGCAGCGACGGCGAGAACUGGAUGGUGACCGCAAGGACCCCAUCUCCGGUGUCCCCUCCUCUUCAAAUGUGGCCUAAUCGCCGCCCCUCUCCCGCUGCUCGGGGACACGUGUCACUGCCGCCACCGUCGUUUCCCUUCUUCCUCGCCUCUCGGGGAUCCUGGCCAUUGGGUCUCCUUCCUUUAAGGUAUGAGCAGCUAGGUUGUUUUAAUCACCGCAGCAUGAACUUCCUUUGUUUUUAAAUCAGUCAAUUCCGCUAGGGUAGGGAGAGGACCUUCACAACUUCUUGGUUUGCCGGUGCGCACCUGGCACACCUAGGAUGAUCCAGGGGCAUGCGAAAGAUAAUGAUCCAGGCAGUUGGCCAGAUUCAGUGUCUAACUUCCGUGUAGAGCCGGCCCUGAUCUCGAAGGAUUCCACCCACGGUGUUUUAUAAUUUGAGUGCCAAGUGGGUUCAAUUUAAGUUACUCUUUAGAUCUAAAGUUUGUACUGGAGAUGUUGUUGGUUCAUUCAUAUUUGUUUGGUAGGUGUCCAAUAUUGCCUCUAUAUUUUGGUUCCGCAAGUCUGUAGACCUUUUAUCUUUGCUACGACUAGACUUAAGGAUAAUCUUCUGAAAAAUUAGAUAGAGUGGGUGUAUAUCUGAUCGAGCAAGAUGCAGGAUGAUGUUGAUAGUUUUCAAACACCAGUAGGUUAUUAGCUAUCCUUUGUCAAUAUAUACCAUUGUUGGAUAUUCACAGAAAUUCAUGAAUAUAUGUUGUUAAAAGAUUUCAAAACUUUGGUCAUCGGGCCAUGAUCAUAUUAUUUCCUUGGUUAUUUGACUCGAGCUAUUGUUGAAUAUUAUUGACAAGUGUUUUGCUAUUUUGUAUUGUCUUCCUAUAUUUGUUGUUUGAGUCAUUGUGCUUGUUAGUGGAAUAAUAUCUAUAAUUAUGUUGAUUGGGGCUACACCAAAAGAACUCUAUUAUAAAAGACUAAAGACCCCAAAAUUAUUAUUGAUGGAGACCAUUUAGUAUCUCUUUAGGGACGUUGGUUUGAGAGAACCGAACGGAGUUGCACCAACCAAAAUGCUCAAUUGGACACAUUCUUUCAAGUGUAUAAACAAUUGUUAUAUGACCCUCGAUCGUUAUCAUGAUCAUGAAUCCUCUUUUGUUUGUUGUUUCAAGAAUAAUGAAAAAUUUCUUAUAAUCUUUUUAGUAGGUUCAUUUUGGCAUGAAACUCAGUAAGUAUCUUGUUUAUUUUAGCUAUGUACUUAGUUUUAUCAACUGAUGAUUCUUCCCUAUUCAGUGAGAGGAUGACUACGAGGUCAUCCGAAAAGUAGGUAGAGGGAAAUACGGUGAAGUCUUUGAAGGUAACAAACGAUGAGCGAUGCGUAAGAGCAUUUAAAUCACUAAAGUAGUGAUCAAACCACUCUUAUAUUUGUUUAUAAUAGGUAGUAUUCGCCGACACAUAAACACAAAGUAGUGCGACUUAUUUACUCAUUUGCUUCUUAAUCUAAACAAUUGGGACUCACUAAAGAAUUUGCAGCGACAACAUAUACGGUGACAUCCAACAAAGCUUGUUUGGCUGCUUGUGCUCGAUUAAUGCAGAGGCCUGAAGCCGAACUCUUUCUUGGUUCUAUCUUUUAGAUACAUAUGACAAAUAAUUAACAAAUUCACUUCGAUCUGUUUCAUACAGAGUUUACAUAAAAUGACCGUUGACUGGUAGACCGUUGAAUAUACGUGCAAAUACAUAUUUAUAUUGGGUAUUUUAUCACUUAAUAUAGUAAGAACCAAAUAUUGUUAUUGUCUGCCCGGGAAGAUCUCCAAACCACACCUUGUUGAUGCAUGUGAAGUUACAUGUUAGUAGUUUCACUAUACCUUUCUCUUAAAAUGUUGAUUUCAUGUAUGGUAGUUUACAUCAAUGACAAAAUGUCCAAUGUUCUACUGUAGCUAACAGCCAUUCUGUCUUCUUAGUUACUCCCUCCGUCCCAAAAUAAGUGUUUGCGAAGCUUAUUUCGGGAUGGAGGAAGUAUUCCUUAGCUAAGAUGUUAGAUUAUUCUACGUAUAGGUGUUAUAUCUUCUUACUUGCAUGCUUAUUUGUCUUGACAGAUGGCAACUUUCUCGAGGUCAUGUGAGCAAGCUUUAUUCAAUCUGGGAGACCAUCAAAUUCUGGAAUGUCAUAGGACAAUUGCCAUGAUUUAACGUCAGAUUCUCACAUGUUUUCUUGAUCUGAGUGUAUGCUCGUGUGUUAGUUAAUUAUUUGGUUCCACGGCAAGGGAUAUUGAGAUCAAGUUGUACACUAUAAGAGGCCUUCUCGAGAGGUAUUUUGCAAGUUAUGGGAAUAUAUCCUCUUCAUUUCAUGUACCUUGCAACAUCUCCAUCUAAAGCUAGGGUUAUGGAGAUGAAGAGGAUCUAUUCUCAUUCUUAAAAACCUACUUGUUGGUGUUAUAAAUGCCUAUUAUGGAACUAAGCAUCAAUUUAUAUGCUACACAUGGUGUUGGCAGUGUGUCAUUAGUGCUUGUGUUAAUAGUUCAGUAGAUGUUCAGUACUGCCUCUGUAUUUUGAUUAUGCAAGUCUUUAGACCUCUUAUCUUUGCUAUGACUAGAUCCAAGGAGAAUAUUUUAAAAAAUUAGACAGAGUAUGUGAUCAAACAAGUUGCAGGAUAAUGGUGAGAGUUUUCAAAGAACGGUAGGUUAUUAGAAGUCCUUUGUCUAGGAUACAAAUUUCGACACUGGCAAGUCUCAUGGUUUUUAGUUUUAUUUUUCCUUCCAACUAAUGUGUAUUGUAAUAAAAGAUACUACACAUUAUGGAUUUGUGGGAAAGUGAAUUGUUGCUUCUCAACAUGUUGUUUACCUUAACAAGGGUGAGGCUGGGGAAAACACAUGCAUUUAUGUGUAUUUUAGUUACUGUGUUAACUGUUUUAUUUACAACUUAGAUUGUUUGAUGCAAUUUGUCUUUGUACAAUUAAUAAGAUCUUCCUUGUCUUACUUCCCCUCUCCUUCUCCACCUCUUAAUUUCCAAGUGAUUUAAGUGUGGUGUUAUUGUUAGGUAAACCUAGAAACUUAGCCGAAACCUAAAAAUUAGGCAAACUGUUCGUGCAAGAACAACAUGUUGUUGGCUGGAUGCACUGCACCUUGUUUAUACAUGAGAUAUGUAAAUUGAGGUGUCUUGUCAUGGUGUUCAAUUUGUUUACACGGUGAUGCUAAUUAAUUUUAUAUGCACUAACUUAUAUUUAUGUGUUUUUAGAGCGGAUGUUCCGCUGUAAUAGUUUGAACUGUUGUGAGAGGUAUUCUGAGAUCAUCCUCCUUAAAAGAGACAAAUUGUUUGAUCGUUUGCCAUAUAGUGUGAUGUAUCCUUAAAACCGAGGCUUCUUUUUCAUGAGAUAUAUAACUAUGAUUCCUUAAAUUAUAUUUAUUAUUAUAUCCUUUUGAACAUAAUGAAUGUCAUCUUCUAUUUUCUUCCAUUCAACUUUGUCCAUUUCCAUCUUCUAUGAGGAAUCUGUAACGUCAUGCUAACAAAUGUUAGUCUGUUAUUAACAGAAGACAAAUGUGUGUAAACGUGUGAAAAUGGCUGCAUAGGACAUGAUGAGGUGCUCAAGCAAUACAAGUGCACAUAGAUGCGCUUCAAGAGGCAUGCCAUGGGCGUGCCCGUGCCACUAGUAUUCACUAAGGGGGACGUCUGUGUUCUGUUCCGGUUAGUCUACCAAACGUUGGAAUAAGGACAAAUUUUGUGUUUUAACCUUUUGUACUAACAAAAUUUAGAAUUGAUCUCGCUUUAAAAAUAAUUAGAAUUGAUCUUGAUUUAGUCACGCCAACAUCCCUGAUAUCUGGGUUGCACGAGAAAUGCCAUGUUCUUCGAUGUCUGGUCUGUGUCCUGCACAACCGGCUAAGCUGUUGACGUGCUCACUGAUAGUCUCCAACGUAUCUAUAAUUUUUGAUGGUUUCAUGCUAUUAUCUUGUCAAACUUUGGAUGUUUUGCAUGUCUUCUAUUUAUUUUUUGGGACUAACUUGUUAACUCAGUGCCAAGUGCCAGUUCCUGUUUUUUCCAUGUUUUUGACCUCUUUCAGAGGAGAUUUUGAAACGGAGUCCAAACGGAAGAAAAUCCCCGAAAAGAUUUUUUCUGGAACGGAAGAAGAUCGGGGAGCUUGGGAGACAAGGCAGGGGAGCCCCAGGGCCCCCACAAGCCCCCACCCCGCGACCAGGGGGGAGGUCGCGCCAUCCAGGCUUGUGGGCCCCCUAAGCGUCCCCUGACCUAGGGGGUUGCGCCUAUAUAUUCCCUAAAAAUCCCAAAAAAAUCAGGAGAUCAUCAAAAGUCCUUUUCCACUGCCGCAAGCUUCUAUCUCCGCAAGAUCCCAUCUGGGGCAUGUUCUGGUGCCCUGUCGGAGGGGGGGAUUCGGACACGGAGGGCUUCCUCAUCAACACCAUGACCUCUCCGAUGAUUCGUGAGUAGUUCACCAUAGACCUACGGGUCCAUAGUUAGUAACUAGAUGGCUUCUUCUCUCUCUUGGAUCUUCAAUACAAAGUUCUCCAUGAUCUUCAUGGAGAUCUAUCCGAUGUAAUCUUCUUUUGCGGUGUGUUUGUCGAGAUCCGAUGAAUUGUGGAUUUAUGAUCAGAUUAUCUAUGAAUCUUAUUUGAGUUUCUUCUGAUCUCUCUUAUGCAUGAUUUCAUAUCCUUGUAAUUCUCUUCGAGUUGUGUGUUUUGUUUGGCCAACUAGAUCUAUGAUUCUUGCAAUGGGAGAAGUGCUUGGUUUUGGGUUCAUAACGUGCGGUGACCUCACCCAGUGACAGAAGGGGUAGCGAGGCACGCAUCGUGUUGUUGCCAUCAAGGGUAAAAAGAUGGGGUUUUCAUCAUUGGUUUGAGAUUAUCCCUCUACAUCAUGUCAUCUUACUUAAGGCGUUACUCUGUUCGUCAUGAACUCAAUACACUAGAUGCACGCUGGAUAGCGGUCGAUGUGUGGAGUAAUAGUAGUAGAUGCAGAAAGUAUCGGUUUACUUGUCUCGGACGUGAUGCCUAUAUGUAUGAUCAUUGCCUUAGAUAUCGUCAUGACUUUGCGUGGUUCUAUCAAUUGCUCGACAAUAAUUUUUUCACCCACCGUAAUACUUGCUAUUUUGAGAGAAGCCUCUAGUGAACACUAUGGCCCCCAGGGUCUACGCCACACCAUAUUUUCAGCCUUAUACUUUUUACUUCGUUGCACUUUCCGCCUUCAGAUCUCACUUUGCGAACAAUCUUGAAGGGAUUUACAACCCCUUUGAAGCGUUGGGUGCAAGCUUGUUUGUGUUUGCGCAGGUACUCUCGACUUGACGAGACCCUCCUUCUGGAUCGAUACCUUGGUUCUCAAACUAAGGGAAAUACUUACUGCUCCUGUACUGAUCACCCUUUCCUCUUCAAGGGAAAAACCAAAGCAAGCCCAGCCUCUGUCAACGUGUCAAUUUCUGGCGCUGUUGUCUAUGGGAUAGCAGAAGAAUUUCUGGCGCCGUUGCCGGGGAGGAAGAUCAAGUCAAGAACUCAUCCAAGUAGGUGUCCCAAAGUCAUAUCUUGCAUUUACUUUGUUUGACAGUUGCCUCUCGUUUUCCUCUCCCCCACUUCACCAUUUUGCCUUUUUCGUUCACCUUUUCGUUCGCCCUUCUCGUUCGCCCUUUUCGUUCGCCCUUUUUCUCGCCUGCUCUUUGUUUGCUUGUGUGCUUGCUUGCCUGCUAAAGCCCGAAUGGCCCCACUAAGGGAUUUUGAUGCUCACUUUCUGAAGUUAGAAGAGAUUGAAACUAAUGUUAAAGGCUUCAUGUCUACACAGUUUGAAUAUAAUAGUUACUUCCAUAGAGAGCUGAAGGAGCAAAAUUCUUUUAUGGCUUUUAUGAGUAGAGAAGUUGAUGAUAUGACCAAAGAAUUCCUUGCGCUGAAUUCUCAGUUUGCUCAUCUUGAAAAGCUAGUGGGCCAGAUUUCUGACAAGCAAGCUACUUUAGUCAAUAAAAUGGCUGCUAAACCCGAAACUCGUGAUGAGAAUCACGAAGAUCUUAAAGUGCUUGGUGUGACUCCCAUUUAAUCUUUGUUUUCUUGUGUCAAACCUAAUGAUUAUGGGUCUGGAUAUGAAUCCACUUUGGUUGAAAAGUUCCCCAAUGAUUCGGAGUCCAUCUAUCUUGAUGCUAAAAGCAUUAAAAGUGGAGUAGAAGACGUUAAAACUUUGAGUAGUAAUGAAAUUACUAGCAUGGAUUUCAAGGAAUUCAAUUAUGAUAGUUGCUCCUUGAUUGAAUGCAUUUCUUUGAUGCAAUCCAUGUUGAACUCUCCACACGCUUAUAGCCUAAACAAAGCCUUUACCGAUCAUAUUGUCGAAGCUAUGAUAAAAUCUCUUGAAGAGAAACUUGAAUUGGAAGUAUCUAUCCCUAGAAAGCUUCAUGAUGAGUGGGAACCUACCAUCAAAAUCAAAAUCAAAAACUAUGAGUGCAAUGCUUUGUGUGAUUUGGGUGCUAGUGUUUCUGCGAUUCCAAAGUCUUUAUGUGAUGUUCUAGGUUUUAAUGAGAUUGAACAGUGUUCUCUUAAUUUGCAUCUUGCCGAUUCUACUGUCAAGAAACCCAUGGGAAGGAUCAAUUAUGUUCUUAUUAUUGCAAAUAGGAACUAUGUACCCGUGGAUUUCAUUGUGCUUGACAUUGAUUGCAAUCCUACAUGCCCCAUUAUUCUUGGUAGACCUUUCCUAAAGACUAUCGGUGCUAUCAUCGAUAUGAAGGAAGGGAAUAUUAGAUUUCAAUUUCCUUUAAGUAAGGGCAUGGAACACUUCCCUAGAAAUAAAAUAAGAUUGCCUUAUGAAUUCAUGAUCAGGGCCACUUAUGGUUUGAGCACCAAAUACGAUGAUACGUGAUUCUAUCGCUUCGAUGCCUAGCUAAGGGCAUUAAACAAUAGCGCUUGUUGGGAGACAACCCAAUGAAUUUAUCUUUUUUCUUUCUGUUUUGUUGCGUCCACACUUUCAUAAUUCUGUUGUGAUUGUGUUUUUGUGUUUCUUUUUGUGUUUGAGCCAAGCAAAGCCUUUAUGACUAGUCUUGGUAAUGGUUGUGUGAUCCUGCUGGAAAAAGACAGAAACUUUUCGCUCACGAGAUGAUUUUUAAUUUUUAUUCAGAAAGAGAUUUUGAGUUUAUUCUUUUUUCUACUGAUUGAUAUGCUUUUUGCCCAGGCCUUCGUAAUUUUCAGAUUUUUUGAGGUACCAGAAGUAUACGAAGUAUACAGAUUGCUACAAACUGGUCUGUUUUUGACAAAUUCUUUUUUUUGUUGAGUUGGUUGCUUGUUUUGAUGAAACUAUGGUUAGUAUCGGGGGGUACUAGCCAUGGAAAAGUGAGAAUACAGUAGCCCAUCAUCAACAUAGAUGGAAUUCAAGUUUGCUACAGUACCAAAAGAAGUGGUAGUUUGUUUUCUUGUACUAAUGUUAUCACAAGUUUCUGUUUAAGUUUUGUGUUGUGAAGUUUUCAAGUUUUGGGUGAUGUUCUCAUGGACAAAGAGAUAAGGAGUGGAAAAAUCUCAAUCUUGGGGAUGCACAAGGCGCCCCAAGCCAAAUUCAAGGACACCAAAAAGCCUAAGCUUGGGGAUGCCCCGGGAAGGCAUCCCCUCUUUCGUCUUCAAUCCAUCGGUAACAUUUCUUGGAGCUAUAUUUUUAUUCACCACAUGAUAUGUGUUUUGCUUGGAGCGUCUUGUAUCAUAGGAGUAUUUUCUUUUUGUUGUGUCACAAUCAUCCUUGCUGCACACCUUUUUGAUAGAGAGAGAGACAUGCACUCAUCAUGAUUUUGCUAGAAUGCUCAUAGUACUUCACUUAUAUCUUUUGAGCUAGAUACUUUUGCUCUAGUGCUUCACUUAUAUCUUUUGAGCUAGACACUUUUGCUCUUGUGCUUCACUUAUAUCUUUAGAGCACGGCGGUGCAUGAUUUGGUAGUUGUCUUAUGCUAUGAAAGUAGUCCCAAAUGUGCUAGGUACCUAAAGAAGAUGCAGAAACCUCCAUCUUCAUGUGCAUUGCGUAAAAAAGAGAAGUUUCGAUUCCUCUCAAUUAGUUUUGAGACGUGGAUUCAGUAAUAUUGAGAGUUACGUUAGUAGGGUGUUGUGAAUCUAGAUAUACUUGUGCUGGAGUUAGUGAUUCCCGUAGCAUGCACGUAUGGUGAACCGCUAUGUUAGGAAGUCGGAGCAUAAUUGAUCUAUUGAUUGUCAUCCUUUGUGUUGAGGUCGGGAUCGCGCGAUGGUUAACACAUACCAACCCUUCCCCUCGGAGUAUGCGUUUAGCACUUUGUUUUGAUUACUCAUAAAAACUUUCACAACAAGUAUGUGAGUUCUUCAUGACUAAUGUGAGCCCAUGGUAUAGAUGCACUUUCACCUUCCACCAUUGCUAGCCUCUCUAGUGUCGCGCAAUUCUCGCCGGUGCACAAACCCACCAAAUUCCUUCCUCAAAACAGCCACCAUACCUACCUACUAUGGCAUUUUCAUAGCCACUCCGAGAUAUAUUGCCAUGCAACUCCCACCGUUCCGUCUCAUGACUUGUGCCAUCACUCUCAUAUUGCCAUUGCAUGAUCGUAAGAUAGCUAGCGAGAUGUUUCAACGUCAUACGCCAUGCUAGAUCGUUGCACAUCCCGGUACACUGCCGGAGGCAUUUCCUAUGGAGUCAUCAUCAUUGUGAUCUUUGAGCUGUGAGUAAAUAAAAGUGUGAUGAUCAUCAUUAUUAGAGCAUUGUCCCAUGUGAGGAAAUAAAAAAAAGAGGCCAAAGAUCCCAAAAACAAAAAAAAGAGAGAAAAGAAAAGAAAAAAAGAGGCCUAAGAGCCCAAAUGAAAAAAAGAAAAGAGAGAAAAAGAGAGAAGGGACAAUGCUACUAUCUUUUUCCACACUUGUGCUUCAUGUUAGCACCAUGUUCUUCAUGAUUGAGAGCUUCUUGCUUUGUCACUACCAUAUGCUAGUGGGAAUCUUCAUUAUAUAACUUGGCUUGUAUAUUCCAAUGAUGGGCUUCCUCAAAAUUGCCCUAGGUCUUCAUGAGCAAGCAAGUUGGACGCACACCCACUAGUUUUCCUUUUGAGCUUUCACAUACUUAUAGCUCUAGUGCAAUUUUGUAUGGCAAUCCCUACUCAUUCACAUUGAUAUCUAUUAAUGGGCAUCUCCAUAGCCUAUUGAUACGCCGAGUCAGUGUGACCAUCUCCUCCUUUUUGUCUCACAACCACCACCACACUCUAUUCCACCUAUAGUGCUAUAUCCAUGGCCCGUGCUCAUGUAUUGCGUGAUAGUUAUAAAAGGUUUGAGAAAGUAAGAGUGCGAAAACAAUUACUUGGCAAAUUCCGGGGUUGUGCAUGAUUUACAUUAGUUGUGUGAGGAUGAUGGAGCAUAGCCAGACUAUAUGAUUUUGUAGGGAUAACUUUCUUUGGCCUUGUUAUUUUGAAAGUCCAUGAUUACUUUGCUAGUUUGCUUGAAGUAUUGCUGUUCUCAUGUCAAUAGCAAACUAUUAUUUUGAAUCAUACAGAUCUGAACAUUCAUGUCACGUGAAAGAAGUUGCAAAGGACAACUAUGCUAGGUAGCAUUCCACAUCACAAAUUCAUUCUUUAUCACUUCCCUACUCGUGGACGAGCAGGAGUUAAGCUUUGGGAUGCUUGAUACAUCUCCAACGUAUCUACAAUUUUUUAUGGUUUCAUGCUAUUAUCUUGUCAAACUUUGGAUGCCUUUUAUUUAUUUUUUGGGACUAACUUAUUAACUCAGUGCCAAGUGCCAGUUCCUGUUUUUUUCCAUGUUCUUGACCCCUUUCAGAGGAGAUUUUGAAACAGAGUCCAAAUGGAAGAAAAUCCCCGAAAAGAUUUUUUCUGGAACUGAAGAAGACCGGGGAGCUUGGGAGCCAAGGCAGGGGAGCCCCAGGGGCCCCACAAGCCCCCACCCCGCGGCCAGGGGGAGGCCGCGUCAUCCAGGCUUGUGGGCCCCCUGAGCGUCCCCUGACCUAGGGGUUGCGCCUAUAUAUUCCCUAAAAAUCCCAAAAAAAUCAAGAGAUCAUCGAAAGUACUUUUCCGCCGCCGCAAGCUUCUGUCUCCGCAAGAUCCCAUCUAGGGAACGUUCUGGUGCCUUGCCGGAGGGGGGAUUCGGACACGGAGGGCUUCUUCAUCAACACCAUGACCUCUCCGAUGAUGCGUGAGUAGUUUACCAUAGACCUACGGGUCCAUAGUUAGUAACUAGAUGGCUUAUUCUCUCUCUUGGAUCUUCAAUACAAAGUUCUCCAUGAUCUUCAUGGAGAUCUAUCCGAUGUAAUCUUCUUUUGUGGUGUGUUUGUCGAGAUCCGAUGAAUUGUGGAUUUAUGAUCAAAUUAUCUAUGAAUCUUAUUUGAGUUUCUUCUGAUCUCUCUUAUGCAUGAUUUCAUAUCCUUGUAAUUCUCUUCGAGUUGUGGGUUUUGUUUGGCCAACUAGAUCUACGAUUCUUGCAAUGGGAGAAGUGCUUGGUUUUUGGUUCAUACCAUGCGGUGACCUCACCCAGUGACAGAAGGGGUAGUGAGGCACGCAUAAUGUUGUUGCCAUCAAGGGUAAAAAGAUGGGGUUUUCAUCAUUGGUUUGAGAUUACCCCUCUACAUCAUGUCAUCUUGCUUAAAGCGUUACUCUGUUCAUCAUGAACUCAAUACACUAGACGCAUGCUGGAUAGCGGUCGAUGUGUGGAGUAAUAGUAGUAGAUGCAGAAAGUAUCGGUCUACUUGUCUCGGACGCGAUGCCUAUAUGUAUGAUCAUUGCCUUAGAUAUCGUCAUGACUGUGCGCGGUUCUAUCAAUUGCUCGACAGUAAUUUGUUCACCCACCGUAAUACUUGCUAUUUUGAGAGAAGCCUCUAGUGAACACUAUGGCCCCCAGGGUCCACUCCACACCAUAUUUCCAGCCUUACACUUUUUACUUCAUUGCACUUUCCGCCUUCAGAUCUCACUUUGCAAACAAUCUUGAAGGGAUUGACAACCCCUUUGAAGCGUUGGGUGCAAGCUUGUUUGUGUUUGCGCAGGUACUCUGGACUUGACGAGACCCUCCUUUUGAAUCGAUACCUUGGUUCUCAAACUGAGGGAAAUACUUACUGCUCCUGUGCUGCAUCACCCUUUCUUCUUCAAGGGAAAAACCAAGCAAGCCCUGCCUCUGUCAACGUGUCAAUUUCUGGCGCUGUUGUUUGUGGGAUAGCACUGACGUGGUAAAGGACCACACGCCAGGGUCCUUGGUGCCUGGUCCUCGUAAAUGAACAAACACCAAGGACCUUGGCCUCUGAAUGACGUGACCCAUAUUACCAAAAAGUUGUUAUGUCAUUCGCUCGGGCCAAACGCCAAGGUCCCUGGCGUUUGGUCACUUACCAGGACUAGACGCUAGGGUGCCUCCUAUGUGGCCGUUUGCCACAUCAGUUGGGCAAUGGACCGGCCGAUCGUGCGGGCCAUGGGCUAGAGGCCAAGGACCGUGGCAUCUCUCGUGCAACCCAGACAUCACGGAUGUCGGCGUGACCAAAACAGGCGAUUUUUAGAAUUUUUUUAAACAAGGUCACUAUCAAAUUUUGUUAGCACAGAAGGUUAUAACAUAAAUGUUGUCCUUGAAAUGAAGCCUACUAACGGGUCCGACCCAUGACAUUAUGGCCUAUGAAAUACAACCAAAAACACCCUAAGGCCAUCUCCAAUGGCAGCGUGUAAAAUGUCACAUUCAUCCACGGACAAAGUACCAAUUUGUAAACAUGGGUAUGAGAGCCCGUCAUCCAACCGUAAUGGUAUACAUCUGGUAUUUUCAAAAAAACUAUGCACGAUCAAAUAGUCGAGGGUACAUAUGUUCAAAUAGCCACAUGUAGCAAUAGUUUAAUUUUAAAAAGUUUCAAAUAGUAUAUUUCAGCAUUAUUUUUCUCUUUAACCAUCCACUGAUACCCAAUUAGAUCUUCUUUAAGUUGCGUGUGAGUUGGUCGAUGUCGACUUUAUUGAUGAAUUUGAAUAUACUCUCGAAAUGUGGCCAGAUUCUGGUGAGGAAGUUGGAUAUGAUCACCCAUGUUCUCGAAUUCUAGAGUCGCGGCAACAUCAUCGCCCUCAUCCUCGAUGAGCAUGUUCUGCAUGAUCACAUAACAUGUCAUCACCUCCCACAAUGUCUCUGGAUCCCAUUGUUUAGCAGGUCCACAAAAAAGUGCAAAACGGGCUUGCAGAACUCCAAAUGCCAUCUCAGUGUCCUUUCUAGCUGCUUCUUGUCCUUGGGAAAAGUGAGCCUUUUUUUGUCCAACGGGAUUAGAGAUGAUGUUGACAAAGGUAGCCCACGAAGGAUAGAGACCGUCAAGAAGAUAAUAGCCCAUGUUGUACUUAUGUCCAUUGACGGUAUAAUAGGAAGGAAGAGGUUUUGCUUCAGUUAGUCUCGCAAACAAUGGUGGUCGCUGCAGCACAUUGAUGUCAUUGUGAGACCCGGGCAUGCCAAAUAAAGCAUGUCAAAUCCAAAUAUCUUGUGAUGCAACUACUUCAAGAAUUAUGGUGGGCUUCUUAACAUGACCUUGAUAUUGCCCUUGUAAAGCAGUCAAGCGGUUUUUCCAUUUUAAAUGCAUGGAGUUAAGAGAUCCAAGAAAAACUGGCCACCCUCUUACUUCUGAGAUUGCCAAGAGCCUCUCGGAGCGUGUCACGGUUGGUUCUCUUAGGUACUAAGGUCCAAACACCUCGGCCACGCAAGUUGCAAAACUUGACCAUGGCAUCUCCGCAUGUGCUCUCAGACAUCCGUAUGUACUCAUCUCAUGAACCAGCGGUCGUGCCAUAUGGAAGCAUCCGAAGUGCAGUCGUGCACUUCUGGUAACCAAAGAACCCAACUGUUACCACGACGUCCUUCAGGAUGAAGUAGUCAUCGUAGAACCAGACGCCAUGGUACAAAUGACCGAAGACAGUCUUGUGCAUAAAAAAUGCCGGCGAAAAUGGUCAGUGAAGAGUGCAUCAGGGGCAAAAUAGUCUGCCAUCAGUGUCAAAAGGUCACCUGCAUGUUGUAGUUGAGAACUCGAUGAUCCUUGAUCGAGCCCUUUAAAUUGAGAACAUACUCCUCCACACGCUCCGCGUCUUCAAGGACCACCUGCAUCAUCUUUGUCUCAUCGAAGUACUCAUCCUUGUUUGAUGGGUCAUUGGACGACUAUACAUAUUGCUCGUAUAUGUACUCAAAAUCAGAAUCCAUUGCUAGAAAGAAGAAGGGAAAACUGUUUUUAGCUCCCUCGAUUCAUUAAACAAUUAUCGGGCAUGGUGAGUGUAGCAGUAGGCACGGGUUAAACAACGACAGCGGAGAAGCGGGGUGGAACCCUCGUGGAGCGUGAUAUAUCUCCAACGUAUUUAUUAUUUUUUAUUGUUUCAUUCUAUUGUUUUAUCAAUCUUAGAUACUAUAUAUGCAAUUUUAUAUCAUUUUUUGGACUACCCUAUUAACUUAGUGCCUAGUGUGAGUUCUUGUUUUUUGCCAGUUUUUUGCUUUUUCAGAAAAUUGAUACCAAACGGAGUUCAAACAUGAUAAAACUUUUUGAUGAUUUUUCCCAGACCAAUAGACACCCUAGAAGCUUCGUAAGGGGUAGGGCACCCUCAUGUCUCGUGGGCCCUUCGUAGCUCCGUCUCACCUAAUAACAACGUUAUAAAUUCCCAUAUAUUCUGAAACCCCCAGAGCGAGAUCCGAAGCAAAUUUUCUGCCGGCACAAGUAUAUGUUCUUCCAUGAUCCCAACUGGAGGCCCUUUUUGUACUCUAUCGGAGGAGGAUCAAUCACGGAGGCCAUCUUCAUCAAAUUUAAUGCCUCCAUGAUGAUGUGCCAAUAGUAAUUUAAUAGCUGUAAUUGAAGAUUCUAUAGAAUUUGAAUUUGAAAGUAGGCAAUAACAUUUUCUAGAUCCAUCAUAUAUGGAUAGAGUCUCAAUAACUGAUGCAUUAUUCAAUUCAUAGGUACAUAUGUUCAAGAAUUACCUAAAAAUAAUUACAUUAGACCAAAUAAAGAAUGAUGCGUACUUGAAUUAAAGACGUUAAAGAAAGAGGGGAAAGGCAUUCUGGUUGUUCUACAAGGUGAAGCGGAAUGCCCAUGUUGUGCCUUCUUUCCUGCAGAAUGCACGCAUGACUCUAAUCUAUUCCCUUGUGAUGGCGGACCUCACAUCCUUCAUUAUCUUCAUGAGGACAUCAAGAUAGUCAUCGUAGCCUGGUACAAAUUUUUUAACCUUUUCAUGUCCACAAAUCAUGUAAAUUUUUUUGACCGGCCAAAUCAUGUAAUUUGAGAGGUAAUGUUGAGUAAACUGCCCUAGGAACCACUACUAAUAAAAAUAUUCAUAUAUUGUCAUCUAAAAACUCAUGGUGGGCAGUAGAAAGAAGGCUACAUAAUUCUUACUUACCAGCCCAUAGUUCACUAGUGUCUUGGAUAAAGUGUAAACAAAUAGUUUAGUUCCAUAUUUUGUCCCAUUUUACUAACAAUCUUUAUUAGUUUCCUCACUUGAUGCUGGUUCAUGAAUAUCUCAUUGCCCCAUAUUCAAAAAGGGUCGAAGUGCGAAUCUUUACCAGUGACAUAUGUACGUAUAAGCAACAAAUUACUAUUAGAAACUAAACUAAAAUUGCACAAUGUUGUAGUACAAUACUCCCUCUAUCCCAUGAUGAAAGAUCUUAUUACAUCCAAUAUACUCAAAUAUUAGAUGUAUUAACAUCGCAUAUGAUGGAGCAGAGGGAGUAUAUAUAAGCCUUGGGAUGAAACUAACAUCGAUGGAAAACAACAUCCAUUCCCAAUAUUUUCCUGGGUAAGUACAUCGAAAGGCAUGUUAAGUGCAACAUUCUAAACAUCAACCAAAUAUAUGCAUGGUAAACAACAUGAUCUUAAAAUGAUAACUUAAGUGUGCAGGUUUAAGCAUGCUAGCUAAGCAAACAAGAAGUGGAAUGGUGUGUUAACUGCAAUAGGCUUAACAAUUAACAACAAAAAAAUAUAGUCAUUUAAGCUGGUACUAUGCAUGUUUAAGUACACUAGUUAUUGUUACAUAAAAAUGGAAAGGCAUAUAUGCUCACUACAAGAGGCUUAACAACAACCAAAUAUAGUCAUUCAUAGUGGUAUUUUUGAAAUUGCUUAGAACAUAGGUUGUGUUUAAACAUCAAAUUGUAUAAUUGGACAUCACAUUGUGAAAAAAAUCAAGCAAACAAUGGGCGUGCUAACUACACCAGGCUUAAUAGGAACCACAUAUGGCCGAAACAGGUAUUGAUGAAAUUGAACUGCACGGUCCAUACUUGUACACAUAGAAGUUUACAAUGUGAAUAACUGGAAUAAACAAGGCAUAGUAUAUAACAAUUGAAUCUGGACAUAUGCCAACUAAAAACAAUUGAGCAAGCAAAAACCAGUUAAACAAGGCACAUGCUCACUACAUGAGGCUUAACAUCAACCAAAUAUGCUCAUUCAUAGUGGUAUUAUUGAAAAUGCAUAGAACAUAGCUUGUGCUUAAACGUCGAAUUUUAUAACUCAACAUCACAUUGUGAAAAACUGAAAUAAACAGUGGCGUAGAACUACACCAGGCUUAACAGGAACCAAAUAUGGCCUUUGAAACUAGUAUUGAUGAAAAUUGAACUGCACAAUCCAUACAUACACAUAUAGAACAUCGUAGUGUGAAUAACUAAAAUAAACAAGGCAUACUACAAACAACAACAUAUAGCAAUUGAAACUAGACAUAUGCUCACUACAAACAACCAAAAACGGUUAAGCAAGGCAUAUGCUCACUACAAAUAACCAAAUAUAGCAAUUGAAACUGGACAUGUGCUCACUACAAAAAAACAUGUUAAAUAAGGCAUAUGUUCACUAUAAACAACCAAGCACAUGCAUUAGUGAAAUUGAACUAGAAAAUUCAUUCAAACAUAUCGCAUUGGACUUUUGAACAUUACAUUUUGCAUAACUAAAAUAAUUAAACACUACAUGGUUAAAACAUAGCAUGGCAAAAGCAGUACGAUCAUAUGUUGUUACCCCCUUUGAAGAGGCCCGACAAAACAAAUCAUGGGUUUCCUUACUUGACAUAGAUGGGCUCCUUCCCGUUGGAAGAGCACAAAUUCUAGUUGCGCUCCAAGUUAUCAAAGAUGGGCUCCUUCCCCUUGGAAGAGUGAAAGGAUGUGUAUGUCGCCUAGAGGGGUGAAUAGGCACUUUAAAAUAAUUACGAUUUAGGCUUGAACAAAUGCGGAAUAAAACUUGUGUUUAAUUUGUCAAGCACAAAACCUAAAACAACUAUAUUCAUCUAUGUGCACCAACAACUUUGCUAGGCAAGGUAAACAACAAAGUGAUAGCAAUAUAUAUAAUAUGAAAGAAUGUGGCUAUCACAAAGUAAAGUGCAUAAGUAAAGGGCUCGGGUAAGAAAUAAACGAGGCACACGGAGACGAUGAAGUAUCAUGAAGUUUACACCCUUGCACAUGCUAAUCUCCAUUUGGAGCGGUGUGGAGAUACUGUUGGAAAUAUGCCCUAGAGUCAAUGAUAAAAUAGUUAUUAUUAUAUUUCCUGUUUCAAGAUAAUCGUUUAUUAUCCAUGCUAUAAUUGUAUUGAAUGAACGCAUAGAUACAUGUGUGGAUAUAUAGACAAAACAAUGUCCCUAGCAAGCCUCUAGUUGGCUAGCCAGUUGAUCAAGGAUGGUUAAGGUUUUCUGACCAUACGGAAGUGUUGUUACUUGAUAACUGGAUCACAUCAUUAGGAGAAUCAUGUGAUGGACUAGACCCAAACUAUAAACGUAGCAUGUGAUCGUGUCAUUUUGUUGUUAUUGUUUUCGACAUGUCAAGUGUUCAUUCCUAAGACCAUGAGAUCAUGUAACUCACUCACACCGUAGGAAUGCCUUGUGUGUAUCAAACGUCACAACAUAACUGGGUGACUAUAAAGGUGCUCUACAGGUAUCUCCGAAGGUGUCCGUUGAGUUAGCAUGGAUCAACACUGGGAUUUGUCACUCCGUGUGACGGAGAGGUAUCUCGGGGCCCACUUGGUCAUACAACAUCACACACAACCCUUGCAAGCAAUGUGACUCAAGUGUGAGUCAUGAGAUCUUGUAUUACGAAACGAGUAAAGAGACUUGCCGGUAACGAGAUUGAAAUAGGUAUAGGGAUACUGAGGAUCAAAUCUCGGGCAAGUAACAUACCGAAGGACAUAGGGAAUGAGAUACGGGAUUAUAUGAAUCCUUGGCACAGAGUUUCAACCGAUAAGAUCUUCGUAGAAUAUGUAGGAUACAAUAUGGACAUCUAGGUCCCGCUAUUGCAUAUUGACCGAGGAGUGUCUCGGGUCAUGUCUACAUAGUUCUCGAACCCGCAUGGUCUGCACACUUAAGGUUCGAUGAUGUUUUAGUAUAGUUGAGUUAUAUGUGUUGGUGACCGAAGGUUGUUCGGAGUCCCGAAUGAGAUCACGGACAUCAUGAGGGUUUCCGUAUGGUACGGAAACAAAGAUUGAUAUAUAGGAUGGUUUCAUUUGGUCAUCGGAAAGUUUUCGGGCAUUACCGGCAGUGUACCGGGAGUGACGAAUGGGUUCCGGGUAUUCACCGGGAGGGGCCCACCCACCCGGGAGUGAGCCCAGUGACCUAGGGUGGCGGACCAGCCCUUAGUGGGCUGGUGAGGCCAUCCCAAGAGGGCUAUGGCGCCACAAGUGAAAAAACUAAAGGAAAAGAAAAAACAAGGAAAGAGGGAGGUGGGAAGGAAGGAGCGGACUCCUUUCCCCAAACCGAAUUGGGGUGGGAGUCCACCUCCCCCCACUCGGCCGGCGCCCUUGGGGCUCCCUUGAGCCCCAAGGCUAGCCUCUCCCCUCCUCCUAUAUAUAUUGGUGAUUUAGGGCCUUUUGAGACACAACUUUGCCACGUGCAACUCAAACCUAUACCACACGGUUCUUCCUCUAGAUCGGAUUUCUCCGGAGCUCAGGCGAAGCCCUGCAAGAGUAGAUCAUCACCACCACCGGCGCGCCGUCACGCUGCCGGAGAACUCAUCUAAUUCUCCGUAUAUCUUGCUGGAUCAAGAAGCCCAAGAUCGUCAUCGAGCUGUACGUGUGCUGAACGUGGAGGUGUCGUCCGUUUGGCGCAAGAUCGGAACAGAUCAUGGGAUGACGGUGAUUUGAUUUACAAAGUUGUACCACUACAUCAACCGCGUUUCUUAACGCUUCCCGCUUAGAGAUCUACAAGGGUAUGUGGAUCUAAUCUCCUCUCAUAGAUGAACAUCACCAUGAUAGGUCUUCUUGUGCGUAGGAAAUUUUUUGCUUCCCAUGCAACAUUCCCCAACAGUGGCAUCAUGAGCUAGGUUCAUGCGUAGAUGUUAUCUUGAGUAGAACACAAAAGGUUUUGUGGGCGUUGAUGUUUGAUUUGCUACCCUCCUUAGUCUUUUCUUGAUUCGGCGGUAUUGUUGGAUUGAAGCGGCCCAGACCGACAUUACUCGUACGCUUACAAGAGACUGGUUUCAUCGAGUGACAUGCAACUCGUUGCAUAAAGAUGACUGGCGGGGGUCGGGUUUUUCAACUUUAGUUGAAUUGGAUUUGACUGAGGUGGUCCUUGGAGAGAGGUUAAAUAGAAAUUUUCACAUCUCCGUUGUGGUUUUUGCGUAAGUAAGAUGCGAUCAUACUAGAUACCCAUAGCAACCACGUAAAACAUGCAACAACAAAUUAGAGGACAUAUAACUUGUUUUUGCAGGGUAUGCUUGUGAUGUGAUAUGGCCAAAUACAUGAUGUGAUAUAUUGGAUGUAUGAGAUGAUCAUGUUGUAAUAGUUAAUAUCGACUUGCACGUCGAUGCUACGGCAACCGACAUGAGCCAUAGGGUUGUCUUUUAACUAACAUUUGUGUUUGGAGAUGCGUUUACUAUAUUGCUAGGUUGUAGCUUUAGUAGUAAUAGCAUAUAUAGCACGACAACCUCGAUGGUGGCACGAUGAUGGAGAUCAUGGUGUGGCGUCGAUGACAAGAAGAUCAUGUCAAUGCUUUGGUGAUGGAGAUCAAGAAGCAAAAGAUCAUGGCCAUAUCAUGUCACUUAUGAAUUGCAUGCGAUGUUAAUCCUUUUAUGCACCUUAUUUUGCUUAGAAUGACGGUAGCAUCAUAAGGUGACCCCUCACUAAAAUUUCAAUAUGAAAUUGUGUUCUCCCCGACUGUGCACCGUUGCGACAGUUCGUCGUUUCGAGACACCACGUGAUGAUCGGGUGUGAUAGACCCAAUGUUCACAUACAACGGGUGCAAAACAGUUGCACACGCGGAACACUCGGGUUAAACUUGACGAGCCUAGCAUGUGCAGACAUGACCUCAGAACACAAGAGACCAAAAGGUCGAUCAUGAAUCGUAUAGUUGAUAUGAUUAGGAUAGAGAUGUUUACCACUGAGACUAUACUCAACUCACAUGAUGAUCGGACUUGAGUUAGUGAAUUUGGAUCAUGCACCACUCAAAUGACUAGAGGGAUGUACUUUUUGAGUGGGAGUUUAUUAAGUAAUUUGAUUAGUUAAACUCUAAAUUAUCUUGAACAUAGUCUAUGUCCACUUUGUAAUAUUUUAUGUUGUAGAUCAAUGGCUCACGCAAUAGCAACCCUAAAUUUCAAUACGUUCCUAGAGAAAGCUAAGUUGAAAGAUGAUGGAAGCAACUUUGUAGACUGCGCACGUAAUCUUAGGCUCAUCCUACAAGCUGGAAAAAAGAAUUAUGUCCUUGAUGCUGCGCUAGGAGAUGAACCACCCGCUACGUCUGACCAAGAUGUUUUGAACGCUUGGCAAUCGUGUAAGGAGGACUACUCAGUAGUUAAAUGUGCAGUCUUGUAUGGCUUAGAACCGGGACUUCAACGUCGCUUUGAGCAUCAUGGAGCAUAUGAGAUGUUCCAGGAGUUGAAGUUUAUCUUUCAGAAGAACGCCAGGAUUGAGAAGUAUGAGACCUCCGAUAAAUUCUAUGCUUGCAAGAUGGAGGAUAAUUCGUGUGUCAGUGAACAUGUGCUUAAAAUGUCUGGGUACUCAAACCGUCUAGCUAAGCUGGGGAUUGAACUCCCAUAAGAGGCUAUCACUGACAUAAUUCUUCAAUCACUGCCACCUAGCUAUAAGAGCUUUGUGUUGAACUAUAACAUGCAAGGGAUGAACAAGUCACCUGACGAGUUAUGCACGAUGCUGAAAGUCGCAAAGUCAGAACUCUGGAAAGAGCAUCAAGUGUUGAUGGUCAAUAAUACCACUGGUUUCAAGAAAAACGGCAAAGGAAAGAAGGGUAACUCCAAGAAGAGCGGCUAGACUGUUGCCAAUCCGACGAAGAAAACCAAGGCUGGACCUAAGCCGGAAACAGAGUGUUAUUGUUGCAAGGGGAUGGGUAACUGGAAGCGCAACUGCCCCAAGUAUUUGGCUGAUAAGAAGGCGGUCAAAGAAAGAUCAGGUAUAUGUGAUAUACAUGUUAUUGAUGUGUACUUAACCAACUCUCGUAGUAGUGCGUGGGUAUUUGAUACCGGUUCUGUUGCUCAUAUUUGCAACUCGAAGCAGGAACUGCAGAAUAAAUGAAGGCUGGCGAAGGAUGAAGUGACGAUGCACGUGGGAAAUGGUUCCAAGGUUGAUGCAAUCACCGUCGACACAGUCUCAGUUCAGUUACCAUCAGGAUUAGUUAUGAACUUAAAUAAUUGUUAUUUAGUGCCUGCGUUAAGCAUGAACAUUAUAUCUGGAUCUUGUUUAUUGCGAGACGAUUACUCGUUUAAGUCAGAGAAUAAUGGUUGUUCUAUUUCUAUGAGUAAUAUAUUUUAUGGUCAUGCACCCAAUGUGAGAGGAUUGUUCAUAUUGAAUCUUGAUUGUGAUGACACACAUAUACAUAACAUUGAGACCAAAAGAUGUAGAGUUAACAAUGAUAGCGCCAUGUUUCUGUGGCACUGCCGCUUAGGUCAUAUUGGUGUAAAGCGCAUGAAGAAACUCCAUUCCGAUGGGCUUUUGGAGUCACUUGAUUUUGAAUCACUUGACACGUGCGAACCAUGCCUCAUGGUCAAGAUGACUAAGACUCCGUUCUCCGGAACAAUGGAGCGUGCAAGUGACUUGUUGGGAAUCAUACAUACCUAUGUGUGCGGUCCAAUGAGUGUGGAGGCGCGCGGCGGAUAUCAUUAUUUUCUCACCUUCACUGACGAUUUGAGUAGUUAUGGAUAUAUCUACUUGAUGAAGCACAAGUAUGAAACGUUUGAGAAGUUCAAACAAUUUUAGAGUGAAGUUGAAAAUCAUCGUAACAAGAAGAUCAAGUUCCUGUGUUCUGAUCGUGGGGGUGAAUAUCUGAGUUUCGAGUUUGGUGCUCACUUGAGACAAUGUGGAAUCGUUUCGCAGUUAACGCCGCCUGGAACACCACAACGUAAUGGUGUGUCCGAACGUCGUAAUCGUACUUUGUUAGAAAUGGUGCGAUCUACGAUGUCUCUUACCGAUUUGCUGUUAUCGUUUUGGGGUUAUGCAUUAGAGACAGCUGCAUUCACUUUAAAUAGGGCAUCAUCAAAAUCCGUUGAGAUGACACCAUACGAGCUGUGGUAUGGCGAGAGACCAAAGUUGUCGUUUCUUAAAGUUUGGGGAUGUGAUGCUUAUGUCAAAAAGCUUCAGCCUGAAAAGCUGGAACCCAAAGCAGAAAAGUGCGUCUUCAUAGGUUACCCAAAGGAGACAGUUGGGUACACCUUCUAUCUCAAAUCUAAGGUCAAAGUGUUUGUUGCUAAGAACGGAGUUUUUCUUGAGAAGGAGUUUCUCUCGAAAGAAUUGAGUGGGAGGAAGAUAGAACUUGAUGAGGUUGUCGAACCUCUACUCCCUCUAGAUGGUGGCACAGGGCAAGGGGAAACCUCUGUCAAAGCGAUGCUGGUUGAGGAGGAAACUAGUGAUGAUGAUCAUGAAGUUUCGGAUCAAGUUACUGUCGGACCCCGUAGGUCGACAAGAUCACAUAAUGCUGUUGAGUGGUACGGUAAUCCUGUCUUAUCAAUCAUGUUGUUAGACAACAAUGAAGCUGCGAAUUAUGAAGAAGCAAUGGUGGGCCUAGAUUCCAAAAAAUGGCUAGAGGCCAUGAAGUCCGAGAUAGGAUCUAUGUAUGAAAACAAAGUAUGGACUUUGGAAGUAUUACCUGAAGGUGGCAAGGCUAUUCAGAACAAAUGGAUCUUUAAGAAGAAGACGGACGCGGACGGUAAUGUGACCGUUUAUAAAGCUCGACUUGUGGCAAAGGGUUUUUCACAAGUUCAAGGAGUUGACUACGAUGAGACGUUCUCACCGGUAGCGAUGCUUAAGUCCGUCCGAAUCAUGUUAGCAAUAGUUGCAUUUUUUGAUUAUGAAGUCUGGCAGAUGGAUGUCAAAAUGGCGUUCCUUAACGGUUUUCUUAAGGAAGAGUAGUAUAUGAUGCAACCCGAAGGUUUUGUCGAGCCAAAGAAUGCUAACAAAGUAUGCAAGCUCCAGCGAUCCAUUUAUGGACUGGUGCAAGCAUCUCGGAGUUGGAAUAAGCGCUCUGAUGAGGUGAUCAAAGCAUUUGGGUUUAUAAAAUUUGUUGGAGAAUCUUGUAUUUACAAGAAAGUGAGUGGGAGCUCUGUGGCUUUUCUAAUAUUAUAUGUGGAUGGCAUAUUGCUGAUUGGAAACAAUGUGGAGUUUUUAGAGAGUGUAAAAGAUUACUUGAACAAAUGUUUUCUAUGAAGGACCUAGGAGAAGUUGCUUACAUUCUAGGCAUUAAGAUCUAUAGGGAUAGAUUGAGGCGCCUGAUAGGACUGUCACAAAGUUUGAAGAAGUUCAAAAUGGAAUAGUCCAAGAAGGGGUUCUUGCUAGUAUUACAAGGUAUAAAGUUGAGUAAGACUCAGUGUCCAGUAUCUGCGGACGAUAGAGAAAAGAUGAGUACCGUCCCCUAUGCUUCAGCCAUAGGGUCUAUCAUGUAUGCAAUGCUGUGCACUAGACCGGACGUCAGCCGGGCCAUAAGUAUGGCAGGUAGGUUUCAAAGUAAUCUAGGAGUGGAUCACUGGACGAUGGUCAAGAAUAUUCUGAAGUACCUGAAAAGGACUAAGGAAAUGUUUCUCGUUUAUGGAGGUGACGAAGAGCUCGUCGUAAAGGGUUACGUCGAUGCAAGCUUUGACACUGAUCCAGAUGACUCUAAGUCUCAAAACAGAUACAUAUUUAUUCUUAAUGGGGGUGCGUUAAGCUGGUGCAGUUCCAAUCAAAGCAUCGUAGCAGAUUCUACAUGUGAAGCGGAGUACAUCGCUGCCUUGGAGGCAACUAAGGAGGGUGUCUGGAUGAAGCAGUUCAUGACGGAUCUUGGAGUUGUGCCGAGCGCACUAAAUCCAAUAACUCUGUUCUGUGACAACACUGGUGCCAUUGCUUUAGCAAAGGAACCAAGGUUUCACAAGAAGACCCGACACAUCAAACGACGCUUAAACCUCAUCCGCGACUACGUGGAAGGAGAGGACGUAAAUAUUUGCAAAGUGCACAUGGAUCUGAAUGUAGCAGAUCCGCUGAAUAAACCCCUUCCACGAGCGAAGCAUGAUCAACACCAGAACUGUAUGGGUGUUAGAUUCAUUACAAUGUAAAUCGCAUAGCGAUGUGAGGACUAGAUUAUUGACUCUAGUGCAAGUGGGAGACUGUUGGGAAUAUGCCCUAGAGGCAAUGAUAAAAUAGUUAUUAUUAUAUUUCCUGUUUCAAGAUAAUCGUUUAUUAUCCAUGCUAUAAUUGUAUUAAAUGAAAGCAUAGAUACAUGUGUGGAUAUAUAGGCAAAACAAUGUCCCUAGCAAGCCUCUAGUUGUGACAGCCCGAGACCGACGCUCUAGAAGAUUCCCCCCUUUAUUCCGUUUCCGUCGUGUGGCUAUUUUAUUUUGUUGGUUGCAUCAUCAUUUAGUUUGCAUCAUCACAUCAUGCAUCAUCUCCAUCUUCUCUAGUGUGGUUGCUUCCCGUGUUGUGUUCAUUUGUUUUUUCCCUCUUCUCCUAGCCACUCCUUAAUCCUCUCUGAUUUCCCUUUGCCUUCAUUUAUUUGAGCUGCAGAUGUAGAUGCUCAAAUAUAUGUUUCUGUUGAGCCCGUAAAUUAUAUCUAUAGUAUAGCGUCACCAUCAAAAAUCUAAGUCCAAUUGGGGUUGGCUUGGUUAUGGAUUGAAUUUAGGCAAGUUUGAUUUAAUUCAAAACUUGUCCGAAUUUAUAUUCGGUACAAAUCCCCAAACCAAUUUUAUUAAAUCCUCCAUAUUUUUAUGGCUCCGGGAAAAUAUAUAUCUUGUUGGAAUUCCAACUAUAUCCUUUGUUUUAUUUAUUUGCAAGUUGUUGUAGAAGAAAUAAAAUUAAAAAAAGGUAAAGAGAGAGGGGUGGCCUAGCCUGUGGUCGAGUUGGGCCAAGGCCCAGCAACCCCCAACCCUAGCGACAGGGUCGCUCCUCGUUCCCAAUCCCUCUCCUGCUCGCAGCGCCGUCUCGUUCCCCCAUCGUCCCUGCGAUCCCCUUCUCUCCCUCCCGAUUCCCCUCUUCCUCCCACAGAGCCCCCCCGCGCAGCCUUCUCCCAUCAGCGCCGCCUACAGGUCGCGUCCCCUUCGAGCCUUGCGCCGCCGCCGUGCCCGCCCCUCUUGGUCGCCGCCGCCGGCCGCCUCGCCCCUCUGCGCCGCCUCCAUGGCCUCGGCCUCGCUCCCGUGCCGUGCCGCCUCUAGUCGCCCUGGCCCUGCGCGCCACCGCUCGUCUCCCCGCCGCUUGCCCUCGUCCUGGCCGUCUCCCGAGUAUGUGUGCGCCUCCCGAGUCCCUCCGCGGCACCGCCCCAUCGUGCUCGCUCCUUCCGGUUGCCCUGGCCCAGGCCGAUCCGCCCGAGUUGCUCUGCCGCGCCAUGCCGCCUUGGUCCGUGCUGAGCCGCCUGCUGUUGCGCAUGUUGUUGUCGCGUUGCUGCUGUUGCUGUGCUGCCGAUGCUAGCUGAAGAGUGCUGGUGGUGUUGCCGCUGAUGUUGCUGCUUACUGUCGCGUUGCUAGUGGCUAGCUGUUGCCUGCUGCUCGCCCUGACCUGCCCAUAGCUAAUGCAUGUUGCCGUGCUUGCCUGCUUGUUGUGCCGGUUGCUAUAGCUGCAGCUGCUUGUUGUUGUUGCCGCUGCUGCUUGCUGUUGCUAGUGGAUGUAAGCUAGUUGCCUUGCUAGCUGCUGCUUGCUAGGCUGCUUGGAGAUGCUCUGUGUUGCCGAUGCUGUUGCUGCGCACGCGGGCGUUGCCUGCCUGAUGAUGCUGUCUUGCCGCUCUUGCUGCUUGCGUUUUUGCCGCUGCUAGGUUGUAGAUGAUGCUUGCCUAGUUGCUGCGUUUUGCUUGCUGCCAUGCUGUAGCAUGCUUGCUAGCGUGCAUGCUAGCUUGCUCUUGCUGGCCAUUGCUUAGAUGCUGUUACUAGCUUGUUUUAGUGGCUUGCCUGUGUGCCUAAUGUUGUAGCCUGUCGUUGGUUGUUGCUGUAGGAUGCUUGUGCCGGUAGCUGCUAGGAUGAUGUAGGUGUUGUUGCCUUGCUAGCUAAAGCUUUUGCCGUUAGAUGCUAAUGCAUGCUAGGCCGAUGCUGUUGCUGCCGCUAGCUGAGUUAGCUGCCGCUAGGCUGCUUGCCUUGCCUGCCUAGCUGAUGUUGCCGUUGCUAUGUUGCUUGCUUGGUGCCGUCGCCGGCGCUCGUUGCUAUUGUGUUGCCUACCGUCGCCGCGUGCACCAUCCCCGAUGCCGUGGAACCGACAAGAUCGUCAUGUACGUCGUCCUCGACGACCCCCGGAACGUGUUCGACUACCGACGCGAAGACCCUGUACCGACGACAAGAGUUCGACUACCGUCGACGAGACCGUGUACCACGACUUCCGCUACGAACCGAUCCGCUCCGAUAUGCACGCAUCAAAGGUAUAACAAUGAGACGUUGUCGUGAACCGAACGAAUGUGAUGUAUGAGUUGAUUGUAUGUUUGCGCCAGAUAUGUUUGCCCGUUGCACGUUGUCUCUCUUUCGUCGCGCCCACGACACAUGGGAACCCGGUAGCAGGAUCACCCCAUCUUUAUUGAGCGUUCCCGCACACGCUUCCAGUUCGUUGGCACGAUAUCUCGACGAGUUAUCGGGAUAGGAACAUUGACCUGGCUUCGUUUCCGUUUUGUCGCCAUGGUUCCCUUUCGCUCGCCGUGGCGACACCUGCUUCUUUCUCUUCUUGCCGUGAUGUUGUAACUUGCAUGCAUGACGCAUUCAUGGCAUAAGUUCCAGUGUUGCAUGUUUCUUGUGAUGUAUCUCCGAUCUUUGUUCCGCGUGUUAACCGACUAGGAUGACAUUUAGGAUCUUCGCUUCACCCCUUGCCAUGUUAACAACAAUUUAAUAUUGCAUGUAAAUAAAUGGGAGUGAAUUAAAUAAUUAAACGUGGAGUUUAGUCGAUAUGCAACUCGUUGCAUAUCGAGCUUCACUUAAUGUGUAGUGUUUGCAUGAGGUGAAUUGCCAUGCCAUCCCUUGCAUCAUUGAACUGAUCAUGCAUCAUAUUAGGUUGUGCAUCAUGUUGUGCAUCGUGUGGUCAAUAUCUGUGUUGAUGUUUGUUUCCGGUUUGCUCCGUCUCAAUAGAGUUCCGCAAGCGUGUCAGAAUGUGAGGACCCGUUCGACUACGUGGUUUGCCGACUUCAUGGAGUUGUUCUUCUUCCAAGCGGGAUCUCAGGCAAGAUGACCAUUUCCCGAGAUACCAUUACUAUCAUUGCCAUGCUAGUUUUACCGCUUCUAUUGUUUAUGUCUCAUUGCCUAUCACUUGUUAAAUACCAGCCUCUCAACAAUGCCAUGACUACCUUCAACCUGUUCGACCUAGCAAACCGCUGAUUGGCUAUGUUACUGCUUGCUUAACCAUGUGUUAGCGUUGCUAGUUGUAGGUGUAGUUGCUUCCAUGUGAUAACAUGGGUUCCUUGUCAUAUCACCAUAUUUAAAAGCUAUUUAAUUUAAUGCACCUAUGUACUUGGUAAAAGGUGGAAGGCUCGGCCUUUCUAGCCUCGUGUUUUGUUCCACCUUUGCCCCCUUAGUUUUCGGCUACCGAUGUUAUGUUCCAUAAACGAGCGCUCCUAUCACGAUCGGGGUUGUUAUGGGGACCCCCUUGAUAAUUAAUUUUAGAUUAAAGCUGGUCUGGCAAGGCCCAACUUUGGUACUACAUUUGCCUAACAACUAAUGAACUGCAUAGGGAGUAAUUAACCCGAGGAUAAUUUAAUCAACCCCCGGGCCAGUGCUCCUCACGAGUGUUGGUCCACCCACCCAGCAGUCGACGGUGCCACCAUGGGGCAACUCGAGGUUUGGUUCCCGUCCACUUUGCAUAGAUGGUGUGUCCUGAGAACGAGAUACGCGGCUCCUAUCGGGAUCGUCGACACACCGGGUGGCCUUGCUGGAUUUGUUUUACCUUUGACGAGAUAUCUUGUGCAUCGGGAUUCCGGUGAUGCUUUGGGUAAUCUCAGAGUUGAGGUUUUCCACUAGGGAAUCCGACGAGAUUGGGAGCUUUGUGAUGGAGGAUUUCUAUGCGGCUUGUGGUAAUUUGUGAUGGACUAGUUGGAGCACCCCUCCAGGGUUAAAUCUUUUCGGAAAGCCGUUCCUGCAGUUAUGUGGCAACAUGGAAACUUUGUUUAACACUUGUUCUAGAUAACUUGAAGUUAACUUAAUUAAAUCAUGCCAACUGUGUGCGUAACUGUGACUGUCUCUUUCGUGAGUUCUUUCUCUGAUCGAGGACACGGUGGGGUUAUGUCUGACAUAGGUAGGUGUUCAGGAUCAUUCAUUUGAUCAUUAGAAGUUCACGUCCGCUAUGCGUAGAUCUUCCUUCUAUUAUUCCUUGUACUCGUAAGUUUAGCCACCAAAUAUAUGCUUAGCUGCUGCUGCAACCUCACCACUUAACCUUGCCUCACCCAUUAAGCUUUGCUAGUCUUGAUACCUUUGGAAAUGAGAUUGCUGAGUCCCCUAUGGCUCACAGAUUACUACAACACCAGUUGCAGGUACAGGUAAAGGUUACUUGACGCGAGCGCGUUGAUUGUUCAUUUGGAGUUGCUUCUUCUUCUUCUUCUUCUUCUUCUUCAUCGAUCUAGGAUGGGUUCCAGGCCGGCAGCCUGGGAUAGCAAGGAUGGACGUCGUUCUUCUUUUGUCGUUUGUUUUCAUCCGUAGUCGGACCCUGCUCUUACUCUUGAUGAUUAUGUAAUGUACUGAUGUGACUCUGAUGUAGCUUGUGGCGAGUGUAAGCCAAUUCUAUUUAUAUACCUCUUCUUUUCAGUACAUGUACUUGUAACGAUAUCCAUUCUUGCGACACGACGAGAUGCGCUUCUAUCCCUGACUAGUCCUUCGUGCCAAAUUGAGGAUAGGGUCGCAUCUUGGGGGUGACACUAGUUGGCUAGCCAGUUGAUCAAGGAUGGUUAAGGUUUUCUGACCAUACGCAAGUGUUGUCACUUGAUAAUUGGAUGACAUCAUUAGGAGAAUCAUGUGAUGGACUAGACCCAGACUAUAAACGUAGCAUGUGAUCGUGUCAUUUUGUUGCUAUUGUUUUCUGCGUGUCAAGUGUUCAUUCCUAUAACUAUGAGAUCAUGUAAAUCACUGACACUGGAGGAAUGCCUUGUGUGUAACAAACGUCACAACGUAACAUGGUGACUAUAAAGGUGCUCUACAGGUAUCUCUGAAGGUGUCCGUUGAGUUAGCAUGGAUCAAGACUGGGAUUUGUCACUCCGUGUGACAGAGAGGUAUCUCGGGGCCCACUCGGUAAUACAACAUCACACACAAGCCUUGCAAGCAAUGUGAAUCAAGUGUAAGUCACGGGAUCUUGUAUUACAGAACGAGUAAAUAGACUUGCCGGUAACGAUAUUGAAAUAGGUAUAGGGAUACCGACGAUCAAAUCUCGGGCAAGUAACAUACCGAAGGACAAAGGGAAUGUGAUACGGGAUUAUAUGAAUCCUUGGCACAGAGGUUCAACUAAUAAGAUCUUCGUAGAAUAUGUAGGAUCCAAUAUGGACAUCUAGGUCCCGCUAUUGGAUAUUGACCGAGGAGUGUCUCGGGUCAUGUCUACAUAGUUCUCGAACCCGCAGGGUCUGCACACGUAAGGUUCGAUGAUGUUUUAGUAUAGUUGAGUUAUAUGUGUUGGUGACCAAAGGUUAUUCGGAGUGCCGGAUGAGAUCUCGGACAUCACGAGGGUUUCCAGAAUGUUCCGGAAACGAAUAUUGAUAUAUAGAAUGGUUUCAUUUGGUCAUCGGAAAGUUUUCGGCCAUUACAGACAGUGUACAGGGAGUGACGAAUGGGUUCCGGGUAUUCACCGGGAGGGGCCCACCUACCCAGGAGUGAGCCCAGUGACCCUAGGGUGGCGCACCAGCCCUUAGUGGGCUGGUGAGGCUAGCCCAAGAGGGCUAUGGUGCCACAAGUGGAAAAACCAAAGGAAAAGAAAAAAACAAGGAAAGAGGGAGGUGGGAAGAAAGGAGUGGACUCCUUCCCCCAAACCGAAUUGGGGUGGGAGUCCACCUCCCUCCACUCGGCCGGCGGCCUUGGGGAUCCCUUGAGCCCCAAGGCUAUCCCCUCCCCUCCUCCUAUAUAUAUUGGUGGUUUAGGGCUUUUUGAGACACAACUUUGCCACGUGCAACUCAAACCUAUACCACACAGUUCUUCCUCUAGAUCGGAUUUCUUCGGAGCUCGGUCGGAGCCCUGCAGGAGUAGAUCAUCACCACCACCGAUGCACCGUAACGCUACCAGAGAACUCAUCUACUUCUCCGUAUCUCUUUCUGGAUCAAGAAGGCCGAGAUUGUCAUCGAGCUAUACGUGUGCUGAACGCGAAGGUGUCGUCCGUUCGGUGCUAGAUCGAAACGGAUCGUGGGACGAUGGUGAUUUGAAUCACGAAGCUGUUCCACUACAUCAACCGCGUUUCUUAACGCCUCCCGCUUAGCAAUCUACAAGGGUAUGUGGAUCUAAUCUCCUCUCGUAGAUGAACAUCACCAUGAUAGGUCUUCGUGUGCGUAGGAAACUUUUUGUUUCCCAUGCAACGUUCCCCAACAGAUACAAUGGUCCCCAAGAAGCCACUAGGGCCAUUGUAAUCUCCAGAUGCUCUCGAGCAAUGCAAGAAGCCGUGAUUCCACUAGGGGACCCUUGAGAGCGGUCACUGAACCCGUACAAAUGUCAACCCUCGGGGGCGGUCACAAAACCCGUACGCUUUGGCAACCCUUGGGGGAAGUCACUGGAAUAAGUACAAAUUGCUCGGGGAAAUUUCCACAACUUAAUUGGAGACCUAGAAGCUUGUCCCGAAGCUUUCCACCACAAUUAUUUAGCUCCACCAAAUCACUAACCAUCUAGGACGUCCAAGCUCCCAAGAGGAACAAGAUCUAGGGUACCAAGAACCCAAGAGUAAUAAGGUACUCAAACUUCACUUCCUUGUAUUACCAUGGAGAACUCAAAGCUAUGCCCCAAAAAGAAAUGGAAAGGGCACACAGAGUGCCCAAGUCAUGCUCUCCAAAAUCCCACCACAACAACUAAUGCUAUGGAGGAAAAUGAGAGUAAUUACAAAGAACAAAUCACAAAGAAGUCCAAGAUUUAGAUCCAAGGGCUUACCCUCACAUAAAGGAGAAAGUGAUUAGUGGAACUGUGGAUCUAGAUGUCCUCUCUCUUUUCCCUCAAGAACUAGCAAGAAUCAUUGGAGGGAUUGAGAGAUAAUAAGGUUGAAGAAGGUCAACAAUGGGGGCAAAGACAAUUUCAACGAUAAAAACUAUUGGGGUAGAAGGGGAUCGCAACAGUCUUCACGGGUAGUAUUACACCCUAAUUCAUUGAUUCGAAACAAGGGGAUCCAAAGAAUAUUUAUUGGUAUUAACAAUUGAGUUGUCCAUUCAACCACACCUGUAAUCUAUUUCUGCAGAAUUUUUUUAGCAGCACAACAAAAUAGUAGUAGAAACAGUAACAACAAUAGUUUGUAGUGAUUGUAACAACAACAACAACAAUAGUAACUUAGCAGAGAUCAAUAUGUGAAAAGCUUAGGCAUUGAAUAAGUGAUGGAUAAUUGUGUUGGAAGAUACACAUCAUCUAAUAGUUACACACUAGAGCUACACAAAAAUAGCUCCAAUUCAUCAAUGUAAUGUAGGCAUGUAUUCCGUAUAUAGUCAUAUGUGCUUAUAGUAAGAACUUGCAUGGCAUCUUUUGUCAAACCCUCCCAUGGUAGCAGGGUCCAUAUGGAAGUCUAAGAGAUAGUAAGGCCUUCUUUUAAUAGAGAACCAAAACAAAACAUUAACAAAUAGUGAAUACAUGAACUCCUCAAACUAUGGUGAUCACCGAAAAGAAUCCCAAUUAUUGUCACCUUGGGGUAUGCGCAUCAUGACACAUAAUGGGUGCAUACAACUUGCAAGAUAGGAUCCAAAACACUCUCAUAUUUAUGAAACAUAAUAGAUUCAGAUCUGAAAUCACGACACUCGGUCCCUAUUGACAAGCAUUAAACAUAGCAACAUCAAUCUGAGAACAUAGUGGAUACUAGGGAUCAAGCCCUAUCAGAAUAACUCGAUUACAUGAUAAAUCUCAUCCAAUCGCAUCGCCGUCCAGCUAGCCUACAAAGGAAUUACUCACUCCCAGUGGUGAGCAUCAUAAAAUUAUAGAUGGAGAAGGAUUGGUGAUGACGGCGACAACAAAUUCCCCUCUUCGGAGCUCCAAACGGACUCGAGAUCAUCCCUCCCGAGGAAGAACAUGAGGUGGUGGUAUAUGUGUCUCAUAAAAUACAAUGAAAACUUCUCUUCUAUUUUUUUCUCGGGGAAUAGGAAUAUAUAGGCUUGGAAUUAUGGUCGCCAGAGCCGCGUGGGCCCCACAAGGCAUCAGGCAUGCCUAGGGGGGUGCACCUUGUUGCCUUGUGAACAACUUGUGGCCCCCCUCUGGCGGUUCUUUGCUCUGGUAUUUUUUAUAUUCCAUAAAAAUGUCCAGAAAGUUUUGUACAAUUCCAAGAACUUUUAUUUCUACACAAAAACAACACCAUGGUAGUUCUACUAAAAACAUCAUCGGUCCAGGUUAGUUUCGUUCAAGUAAUUAAAAUUAUAGUCCAAAGCAAGAGCAGAAGUGUUUGGAAAAGUACAUAUGUUUGGGACGUAUCAACUCCUCCAAGCAUAACUCAUUACUUGUCCUCAAGCAAUUCAGUUGACAAACUAAAAGUGAUAAAUAAAACUUUUACAAACUCUUUUGUUCUUGUUGUCGAAUAUAUACUUAGCUAGUGUUCAUGUUUCCAGCAAAGAUCAUAACUAACAAUAUUGAUGAUAACAUUUAAACAUUAUAUUCACUCAUGACAAUAACAUAACCAACUAGCGAGAAACAAUAAAAUAUCUCAUAUGCCAACAAUUUUUCAAAACAAUCAUGAUAUAGUAUAUCACGAGAAUUUCUGAGACCGCAAAACAUAAAUGCAGAGCACCUCCGAAGUUCAAGCAGCGAUUAAACAUUGUAAUUGAGAGUCUAAAAUAUCCAGUCAUGCUCACAUCCAAUAACUAGACUCAAUGCAUAAGAAUGACAAUAUUGUAUUAGGACUGGUGCUUUGAUAAGAAGAUUAUGACUCAACAAUAAAGUAAAUAACAUCAAAAGUAAAUAACAUAAAACUAAAUAGAAAGGCCCCUCGCAGAGGGAUGCAUUGACUUGCAGAGAUGCGAGAGCUCAAGGUUUAAAACUAAUAUGAAAUUGUAAUUUUUGGUUGUGUGCUUUUCGUGUCAACGUCAUGACGAAGAUUUUGGUAUCUUCCAAGCUAAACACGUUAUCGGCGGCUCCCAGACAGAAAUAUAAAAUUUGGUCCCAUCCACCUUUCAUACACAAACCAUGGCUGACCGAAUCCAUGGGUGCCCUCCAACAAUCUACUUUACAGUGGAGUUUAUUUAAUUUAUUUUUGAUUAUGCAGGAUUGAGAAUCCUUUUUGCCACCCUCUCUCGUGCAAUGACACGAAUAAAUGCCCAUAUUGAGAAUAACCCGUUUAGCAUGGAAAACACUCACCGCCUUGUCGUGGUUUUGACCCGGCAAAUGUCCUUGUGAUAGGACUAAGUCUAGGAGCCAUCACAACUAGGUGGUUACUUGGAUGUGGUUGAUCGGGAAUGAGAGACAAGGGUUUACCCAGGUUGGGCCCCUUCAAUGGAGGUAAAAGCCCACGUCCUACUUUUUGUGUUAUUGAUGAUGAUCUGGAUUACAAGGGUGUGGAAUCGCUAAUCUAGCUCUCGAGGAUUUCUUACUUGUCCUUUCUACCUUAGGGGCUCCCCUUUAUAUAUAGGUUGAGGCCGUGAGAUUACAACAGAGUCGGGUCGUACUACAGCCCAUGACUAACUCUAAUUCCUAUUCAUCUUGUCUCUCAAGUAUAAUAAACAUCCGAUGCCUUCCUUCUAUGAGCCGGCCAGCCAAGUACAGGUACAUGAGACGACCUACUUGGAUAAUUCGCCACUUUGGUCCUCGGAUUUUGGGCCUCUAAGGCUUGCGGUUAACCAAGCCUUGUGCCUCCAGCUUGACAAGCGGGUUAACUUCCUGGCGGUUUAUCCCAUGGGGUAUUUCCCCAACAUUAGCCCCAACUUUAGCUUGAAUUAACCCAUGUUAAACUCCAUCCUGAAUAUGGAAGGAAAACCUAAAACUUGAAACUUAAACUUUGUGCUUUGUUCUCAAGCAGGUAUUUCUCUUAUCUUUCUUGUUGAUGUUUCGUCUCGCUUAGUAGUGUGCCGGAUCAUCUCUUUCGUCCAACACUUAGCUUACUUUUUGAUCCCUUUUACCAUGAUGUCUUCUUGCUGACCACUCAUGCUUAUAUGUCAUUAUGACAAAUCUUUUUUGAACAAUCACCAAAUCCUGUUAGGCGCGAGUAUCAAGGCGAUUUUGCAUCCACUAAUUAUUGUAGCCGCCUAUGUUUUCACCAUGCCGUUUUGGUUUCUCCUUCCUUAUGAAUAGACCUCUUGGUCCCUAAUACGUCUCCGUCGUAUCUACUUUUCUGAACUCUUUUGCCCUUGUUUUGGACUCUAAUUUGCAUGAUUUUGAAUGGAACUAACCCGGCCUGGCGCUGUUUUCAGCAGAAUUGCCAUGGUAUUGUUUUUGUGCAGAAAUGGAAGUUCUCGGAACGUCCUGAAAAUACCUGCGCAAAGAUCCACCGGAGGGGGCGUGCCAGUGGGCCACAAGCACACAGGCCGCGACCACCCCCCUAGGCCGCGCCGUGCAGGCUUGUGGGGCCCACGUGGCACCACCGCUCCCAAUCUCAGUUCUAUAUCUUCCGUUUCGCCUGAAAAAAAAAAUCAGAGAGAAGGUUUCAUCGUGUUUUGCGAUACGGAGGCGCUGCCACAUCCUGUUCUUCAUCUGGAGGGCAGAUCUGGAGUCCGUUUCGGGCUCCGGAGACGGGAAAUCGUCGCCAUCGUCAUCAUCAACCUUUCUCCAUCGACAAUUCCAUGAUGCUCUUCAUCGUUCGUGAGUAAUCUCAUCCUAGGCUUGCUGGACGGUGAUGAAUUGGAUGAGAUCUAUCAUGUAAUCGAGUUAGUUCUUGACGGGGAUUGAUCCCUAGUAUCCACUAUGUUCUAGAUUGAUGUUGCUACUACUUGGCUAUGCUUAAUGCUUGUCACUAGGGCCCGAGUGCCAUGAUUUCAGAUCUGAACCUAUUAUGUUGUCACCAAUAUAUGUGUGUUUUAGAUCCUAUCUUGCAAGUUGUAGUUACCUACUAUGUGUUAUGACCCGACAACGCCGGAGUGACAAUAGCCGGAACCACUCCUGGAGAUGACCAUAGUAUGAGGAGUUCAUGUAUUCACCGCGUGUUAAUGCGUUGGUCCAGUUCUUUAUUAAAAGGAGAACCUUAAUAUCCCGUAGUUUCCAUUAGGACCCCGCUGCCACGGGAGGGAUGGACAAUAGAUGUCAUGCAAGUUCUUUUCCCUAAGCACGUAUGACUACAUACGGAAUACAUGCCUACAUUAGAUUGACCAACGGGAGCUAGCCACAUAUAUCUCCGUGUUAUGAUUGACGAACGGGAGCUAGCCACAUAUAUCUCCGUGUUAUAGCUGUUACAUGAUGAAUCACAUCCGUCACACUCAUCCAUCACCGAUCCACUGCCUACGAGUCUUUUACUACUGGUCCUCGCUACGUUACUUUGCCUAGGCUUGUCCCUUGCUACAAGAGGGAUUGGGCCACUUUGCUGCUGUCACUACUGCUGUUACUUUGCUGCUACUGUUGCUACUGCUGUUACUUGUUACUUUGUUGCUGCUGCUACUACUGUUCCUUGCUACCCCGCUGUUACUUGUUGCAAGACUUUGUUGGCACUAACAUCCCAUCAACAAGGCUUUUUCUGGCACCGUUGCUACCAUACUACCUUGCUACUGAUACUUUUCUUGCAGACACUAAUCUUUCAGGUGUGAUUGAAUUGACAACUGAACUGCCAAUACUUGAGAAUAUUCUUUAGCUUCCCCUUGUGAGCGAAUCAAUAAAUUUGGGUUGAAUACUCUACCCUCGAAAACUGCUGCGAUCCCAUACGCUUGUGGGACAUCAAGGCUUUUUCUCGCGCCAUUGCCGGGGAGGCACAACUAUAUUCUCUGAGUCACUUGGGAUUGAUGUCUGCUGAUCACUAUGAGUAAUCCGAAAGAUCCAAAAAUUAAAAUCUUGGCUUCCACUACGAGGAGAGGUAAGGAAUUGCCAUCUAGCUCUGCACUUGAUUCACCUUCAGUUUUGAGUAACUUUGCGACUUCACCUCCUGCUAGAAAUCUUGAUACGUCGCGUGUGCUUGAUGAUGCUUAUGAUGAUGCUAUGCUUGAUACCAUGCCUGAUGAUGCUAUGCUUAAUACUAUGCCUGAUGAUGCUAUGCUUGAUACUAUGCCUGAUGAUGCUAUGCCUGAUACUGCUUUGCCACUAGGUGCAUUCCUUGAUGCACAUAUUGCUAGAUCUGCUGCUAGAUGUGAUGAUACUUCUGAAACUGCUGAUACUAUUGAAGUAGAACCUGUUACUAUGCCUGAAUUGCCUGUCAAGCCUGAUACAUGCUAUAUUAUGGAGGGAGAGAUAGCCGAGGAUUUUCUUGCGUGUAAGGAUAGCUAUAAUGUUGAGAAACUUCCGCGCAAGUGGAAAGAAAAAUCUCCGAACGCUAGGAUGAAAUACGACCCGAAGUUUGCCACUUCGCCUAUCUUUGUGACCGAUAAGGAUUAUGAAUUCUCUGUCGACCCUGAGUUAAUCACUCUGGUCGAAUCUGAUCCUUUUCAUGGUUAUGAGUCUGAAAUGGUUGUGGGGCCCCCAGACUCCAACGUAUUCGAUACGGAGGGCAGGCUUGCGGGGCGCACAGGCCUUUGCCGCCCCCAACUCCAGCUCUAUAAGUUGUCUUUCCUCCCAGAAAAAAUAAAAAGAGAAGUUCUCGUCGCGUUUUCGAUACCGAGGCGCCGCCACCAACUGUUCUUCAUCUGGAGGGCAGAUCUGGAGUCCAUCUUGGGCUCCGGAGAGGGGAAAUUGUCGCCAUCGUCAUCAUCAACCUUCUUCCCUCUCCAAUUCCAUGAAGCUCUUCGUCGUUCGUGAGUAAUCUAUUCGUAGGCUCGCUGGACGGUGAUGAGUAGGAUGAGAUCUAUCAUGUAAUCGAGUUAGUUUUGAUGGGGAUUGAUCCCUAGUAUCCACUAUGUUAUGAGAUUUGAUGUUGCUACUACUUUGCCAUGCUUAAUGCUUGUCACUAGGGCCCGAGUGCCAUGAUUUCAGAUCUGAAAUUAUUAUGUUGUCACCAAUAUAUGUGUGUUUUAGAUCCGAUCUUGCAAGUUGUAGUUACCUACUAUGUGUUAUGAUCUGGCAACCCCGGAGUGACAAUAACCGGAACCACUCCCGGUGAUGACCAUAGUUUGAGGAGUUCAUGUGUUCACCAAGUGCUAAUGUGUUGGUCUGGUUAUUUAUUAAAAGGAGAACCUUAAUAUCCCGUAGUUUCCUUUUGGACCCCGCUGCCACGGGAGGGAUGGACAAUAGAUGUCAUGCAAGUUCUUUUCCCUAAGCACGUAUGACGACACACGGAAUGCAUGCCUACAUCACAUUGACGAACGGGAGCUAGCCACAUAUCUCUCCGUGUUAUAGCUAUUGCAUGAUGAAUAUCAUCCAAACAAAUCAACGACCCAAUGCCUACGAGUUUGUCCUACUGUUACUACUGCUGUUACUUGUCUUGCUCUGCUGCUACUACUGUUGGUGCUGCCAUUACUUGUCUUGCUCUGCUUCUACUACUGUUGCUACUGUCGUUACUUGUUUUGCUCUGCUGCUACUGUUUCUACUACUGUUGCUUGCUACUGUUGCUACUUGCUACUGCUGUCACUACUGCUGUUCCUUGCCACUGCUAUUGCUCGUUACACUGCCGAUACCCGCUACUUCGCUGUUACUACUUCGAUGUUCCUAUUGUGCUUGGAGAUACUAAUCUUUCAGGUGUGGUUGAAUCUGACAAAUUCAGCUGCUAAUACUUGAGAGUAUACUCUCACCUCCUGACUGGCGUACCUACAAAUUGGGUCGAAUUAUCUUGUACUUUCCUUUUGGACCCCGCUGCCACGGGAGUGAUGGACAAUAUAUGUCAGGCAAGUUCUUUUCCCUAAGCACGUAUGACGACACACGGAAUGCAUGCCUAGAUCACAUUGACGAACGGGAGCUAGCCACAUAUCUCUCCAUGUUAUAGCUGUUGCAUGAUGAAUAUCAUCCAAACAAAUCACCGACCCAAUGCCUAUGAGUUUGUCCUACUGUUACUACUGCCGUUACUUGUCCUGCUCUGGUGCUACUACUGUUGCUACUGCCAUUACUUGUCUUGCUCUGCUGCUACAACUGUUGCUACUGCCGUUACUUGUUUUGCUCUGCUGCUACUGUUGCUACUACUAUUGCUUGCUACUUGCUACUGCUGUCACUACUGCUAUUCCUUGCCACUGCUAUUGCUCGUUAUGCUGCCGAUACCCGCUACUUCGCUGUUACUACUUUGCUGUUACUAUUGUGCUUGCAGAUACUAAUCUUUCAGGCGUGGUUUAAUCUGAUAAAUUCAGCUGCUAAUACUUGAGAGUAUACUCUCACCUCCUGACUGGCGUACCUACAAAUUGGGUCGAAUACUCUACCCUCGAAAACUGCUGCGAACCCACGUGCUGGUGGGCCAUCAACAACAUUCUUCGAGUUUCAUUGCCGGGGAGUGCUAGCAGCAUUCUUCUGGUGCGGUUGCAGGAGAAGGUUAGUUGUUAUAAGCAUUUGUCUAGUUAACACUAGAGAUUGCAGGAUCAACCCUUUUCUGGAGCUAUUGCGAGGGAAGCACAACUCACGUCAGCACUUUUCUGGUGCCGUUGCCGGGGAGGUAUUGCUAUAUUCUCUGAGUCACUUGGGAUUUAUAUCUGCUGAUCACUAUGAAGAAUCUGAAGGAUCCGAAGACCAAAGUCUUGCCCUCAACUACGAGGGGAGGUAAGGAAUUGCCAUCUAGCUCUGCACUUGAUUCACCUUCAGCUAUGAGUAAGUUUGCGACAUCACCUCAUACUAGAAAUCUUGAUAUGUCGCCUGUGCUUGAUGAUGCUUGUGAUACUACUGCUAGAGAUGCUAUGCUUGAUACUAUGCCUGAUGAUGCUAUGCUUGAUACUACUGCUAGAGAUGCUAUGCUUGAUACUAUGCCUGAUGAUGCUAUGCUUGAUACUACUGCUAGAGAUGCUAUGCUUGAUACUAUGCCUGAUGAUGCUAUGCUUGAUACUACUGCUAGAGAUGCUAUGCUUGAUACUAUGCCUGAUGAUGCUAUGCCUGAUACUAUGCUUGAUACUAUGCCUGAUACUGCUAGAGAUGCUAUGCUUGAUACUACUUUGCCUGAUGAUGCUAGAGAUACUAUUAUGCCUGAUGAUGCUAGAGAUACUAUUAUGCCUGAUGAUGCUAUGCUUGAUACUGCUAGAGAUACUCCUUUGCCUGAUGUUCCAUUGGGGGCGUUCCUUGAUGCUCAUAUUGCUAGAGUUACUGCCGAUGCUCAUGAUGCUUCUGAUACUGCCGAUACUAUUGAGAUAGAACCUGCUUUUGCUCGUUUUAGAUCUAGCUCUCCUAGAUAUGAAUUACCUGAUAUACAUGAGGGUUACGUUAUGGAGGGAGAGAUAGCUGAGGAUUUUCUUGCGUGCAAGGAUGCCUAUGACGCUGAGAAAUUAGUUCUCAAGUGGAAGGAAAAAUCUCGGGAAGUUAGGAUGAGAAAUGAUCCAAAGUUUGCCACUUCGCCUAUCUUUGUCACCGAUAAGGAUUAUGAAUUCUCUGUCGACCCUGAGAUAAUCUCUUUAGUCGAAUCUGAUCCUUUUCACGGUUAUGAGUCUGAGACGGUCAUAGCCCAUCUUGCCAAACUAUCCGAAAUAGCCAACCUUUUCACUAAUGAGGAGAAGAUCCGCCACUACUAUAUCCUUAAGAUGUUUCCUUUCUCUCUAAGGCCUUGUUCGAUUAAUCCCUUUCAGGAGGGGAUUGGAGAGGAUUGGAGGGGAUUUAGGUAAAAUUUGACUUGUAGGGGAUUUAAUCCCUCUCAAUCCCCUCCAAACCCCUUCAAAUAUAAAGGAACCGAACAAGGCCUAAAGGAUGAUGCUAAAGCCUGGUUCACCUCUCUUGCUCCUGGAUGUGUGCGUAGUCCCCAGGAGAUGGUCUAUUACUUCUAUGAGAAAUAUUUCCCUGCCCAUAAGAAGCAAGCUGCCUUGCAGGAAAUAUACAACUUUGCUCAACUCCAAGAAGAGAGUCUUCCACAAGCUUGGGGGAGGCUCGUCCAGCUACAGAAUGCUUUGCCUGAUCACCCUCUCAAGAAGAACGAGAUAGUUGAUAUCCUCUAUAACGGACUUACUGAUGCCUCUAGAGACUACCUAGAUAGUUGUGCCGGUUGUGUUCUUAGGGAACGAAUUGUAGAACAAGCUGAGACCCUACUGAAUAACCUCUUGAUCAACGAUAAUGCUUGGACUAUUCCCGAACCACCUCCUAAGCCAACUCCGAAGAAAAGAGGUAUUCAAUUCCUCAGUCCCGAAGAUAUGCAAGAAGCCAAGAAAUCUAUGCAAGAGAAAGGCAUUAGAUCUAAAGAUGUAAAGAAUCUACCACCUAUCAAAGAGAUCCACGGUCUCGAUAACCCGAUACAGGUAGUGGAAGUGAAUUCUCCGCGUAGGUUUGAUGAGAGUGAUAUUCAUUUUGAUAAACCUGCUAGCCUAUGCUUUGAUGAAUUUGACAACUUUGUUGCCAAAUAACAGAGUUUCAAUGAUUAUGUUAGCAGACAUUUGGAACAAAGUGCUCGUAUGCUUAGCCAUUUAAGUGCUUCUCUAGACAGAAAUGUCAAUGCUCUGAAGCUUCUGAGUAAACAUACCUCUAUGAUUACUACUCAGGUAGAACAAGUACUUAAAGCUCAGAAUGACCUGCUCAAUGAAUUAAAUGACAACUCUGUCAGAGUCAUUACUAGAGGAGGCAAAAUGACUCAGGAACCUUUGUAUCCUGAAGGUCAUCCUAAGAGAAUUGAUCAAGAUUCUCAAGGAAUCAAUGCUAAUACACCUAGUCAUCCUAAGGAGAAGAAGAAGGAUGAUAGAAACCUGCAUGCUAGUUCACCAAAUACUAUCACACCUGAAGAACCUAAUGAUAUUUCUGCGUCUGAUGCGGAAACACAAUCUGGUGAUGAACAUGAACCUGGUGACAAUAUGGACACUGAUGUUCAUAAUAAUGCUCAACCUAGCUAUGAGGAGGAUGUGGAGAUUGAACCUACGGUUAAUUCUCAUAAUCCACAACCUAAGAAAUAUGACAAGAAUGACUUCACUGCUAGGAAGCAUGGUAAAGAAAGAGAGCCAUGGGUUCAGAGACCUAUGCCCUUUCCUCCUAAGCCAUCCAAGAAAAAGGAUGAUGAGGAUUUUGAGCGCUUCGUUGAGAUGAUAAGACCCGUCUUUCUGCAGAUGCGGUUAACUGAUAUGCUCAAGAUGUCUCUGUAUGCCAAGUACAUGAAAGAUAUCGUGACUAAUAAACGCAAGAUACCAGAUCUUGAGAUCUCCACCAUGCUUGCCAACUACACUUUCAAAGGUGGAACUCCUAAGAAACUUGGUGAUCCCGGAGUGCCCACUAUACCUUGCUCCAUCAAAGGAAACUAUGUAAGAACUGCCUUAUGUGACCUUGGAGCCGGUGUUAGUGUUAUGCCGCUCUCUCUUUAUCGUAGACUUGAAUUGGAUAAAUUGACACCCACUGAAAUUUCUCUGCAAAUGGUCGACAAAUCAACUGCUUUUCCUAUCGGCAUUUGCGAGGAUGGGCCUGUUGUGGUUGCUAAUACCACUAUCUUAAUAGACUUUGUUAUCUUGGAUAUUCCCGAGGACGAUGCCAUGGCUAUCAUCCUCGGAAGACCUUUUUCAAACACUGCAGGGGCUGUUAUAGAUUGCAACAAAGGCAAUGCCACUUUCCACGUCAGCGGUAAUGAGCACACAGUGCACUUUCCGAAGAAGCGAUAUCAAGUACAUUGCAUCAAUGCUAUCGAAAAGACUUCAUCGAUUCUCAUUGGGAGGUUUGAAUGCCCUAUUCCUCGUGUCAAGAUGAAGUAUGAUUUGCUUGUUGGGGAGAUCCAUAUCCCCAUUGAGGUGACUUAGUGGCUAUUCGAAAAUUCUCCGUUCUCUGUAGCGAUUCGAGAAGGUUUUGUCAUAAGGACUUGAUCAAUCCCAUUGACGGAUUUCUUCCGAUGACCAUGAAACAGAUGAAUCAGAGAGUCACAUACCUCUGUUUUGAGUUUUUCUUUUCUGUUGCUUAGAAGAAAAAUGAUAGAAUUAGUUUAGCUUUUCCUGUUUUCUGUUUUAGCAUCCUGGAGAAAAAUACCUCGAAAAUAAAAGUUCUCCGAUGGUCCUGAAAAUCUAGUAUGAUUUUUUAUGGAAUUUUUGAAAAUUUCUGGGCCUGAGAGCUGGUCAUGGGGACUGACCAUUGGGCCAUAAGCCCCCCCACCGCCACCUACCCCCUGGUGGCGUGGUGCAAGCUUGUGGGGCCCACAGGCACCCCCUCCACUCAUUCGAGCUCCCAGCCUCUUCUUCCACCUCCAGAAAAAAUGGUUUCGCAGCUCAAACCCGUGUUCUUGCUCAUUUGGCUAUGAUUUUCCAUCUCCUUGCUCAAAGCACCAUUCUCCGAACUGUUUUGGGGAAAUUACUCCUUAGUAAGUGACUCCUCCAUUGUUCCAAUUAGUUCUUGCUCUAGUGCUUUAUCCUUCGCGAAUUCUUGCUACCUUGGUGACCCUGUUCUUGAGCUUAAAAGGUUGAUUUUAGCUGGUCCCAAGUAGUUUUAGCGAGUGAUACGGUCUUUAGGCACUAGUAGGAGUAGUUGCUACAAGUUGAGUUGAUCCUUGUUCACUUUUCUUUCGAAGUCUCUAAAAAUUUCAGAAUUUUUCAGAGCUAUAAAAAGUAAAAGAUGAGGAGGUUCUCGAGAGGCUCUUCAAGCCGUAAUCACAAGGAGGAUGAGAAGAACCACCCCAAGUACGUAGUCCCUCGAGUCACAGAGUUCAAGCGUGCGAGUGGCCAAGUGAUGAAUUUUUGCGCGCCGCCGGACUUUAUGAAGACUUUUAUUACUUGGUGGAGAACGCGGGUCUCUCUGCGUUCGUUGAAGAUAAGUGCCCACAAUAUCUCCUCCUCACCAGUAUUUUCGUUCAAAGCUUCAACUUUCAUCCGAGGAAGAAUCCUCCCAUGGUUGAGUUCAUGAUAUACGAUAUCCCCCAGUGCAUGAUGCUACAGGAUUUUUGUAAUGUAUGCAAAUUACCUUAUGUUGGGGAUAUCCGUGACCCUCGUCCACAGGACUUGGAGGAUUGCAUUGGUUCUAUUGCUGUUGGAGAAGAGAGAGGAGUGUCUCGCGCAAGAAUUGCUAGCAUACAUUUUCCUGUUCUUCGGUACUUCUCACUAUUUGUGGGAAAAUGUUUGAUUGGCCGUGGGGAGGCUGGAUCACUUAGUUCUCCAGACCUGGCGGUUUUGCGCGAAGGCCUUUAUAAUGAUAAGACUUAUAGCUUGGGCGCUAUAGUAGCUCAAUGGUUGAACCUGAACCAUUCUAAAGGUGUUGUCUAUGGAGGUAUCUACGCUACCCGUCUUGCCAGACACUUUGAGAUACCCAUUAGACUGGGAGAGGAAGGAUAGAUGCUUCUCCCUGAGAGAUAUCUGGAUUAUGACAGCAUGGUUCGCCAUGAUUUUCUGGAUAGAGAUGCUAGUAGACGGAUGAUUUAUAACCUGGUGUUUAGUGAGGGUACUCGGGAGACUAUUACUUUGCCUGCUCCUUCUUUGUUUGAUCUUCAUGCAGACAGGUACACUAUUAUUCCCGCGGACAUCUACGCAUAUUGGGGCUUGGCCCAACCACAGGUGCCCGCGCCCGAGCCGCCAGUCGAGUACCAGACGCCAGUUUAUCAGUGGGAGCCAGUGGAGCUCACACAGCAGUGGCAUCCACAGUCUGCUCCAGAGUAUCCUGGAGCUGGUUAUUUCCCACCAUGGGAGUAGACCAAGCUUGGCCAAAAGCCUAAGCUUGGGGGAGUACGUGUUCUCACCGACUUUACAUUCAUGCUUAUGCUUUCACUCUAUUGGCCGGUGUUUACACUUUGCCACUGUAUUAUCCAUGCUAGUUUCUUUUCGUUUUCUUGUUUUUCUUGUUUUGUGUCCUUUUGAGAAAACCCAAAAAGAUUUUUCUUUCUUCUUUUGCUUGUUGGGAGCUUUCCCGUGUAAAUAGUUUUCUUUUUCUUUGUGUCAAGGUAGAAGAUAUUGGUUACAAUGCUUAGUGGUUCUUACAUGCUUACCUGUUUAGCUUUCAAAGAGCCAUAUUAUUUUGUCUUCUCCUUUGUGUUUGCGUGCAGAUUCAGCUUAGUCCAAUGCGCUUAUUAUCGUUCUCAUCGUUCGAUCGUGCAAAUGAAAGGCAACAAUGAGGAUAUAUGAUGAAGUGACUGAGACUGAAAAGCUGGUAUGAACUCUAUCUAUUUUGUUUUUGUAAAUAUGACUAGCUUGUCGACCCAGAUUUAGCUUUGUUGUGAGAGAACCAUGUUUGCAAUGACAACUUAGAGAUCAUAGUUUCUGAUGCCAUGCUUAUUUAGCUGAGAUCUUAUAAUGGUUUGUCUUGAUUGCCAACAUAGAUUUUGAGAUGACUAUGAUGUAGUAUGAUAGGAUAGUAUUCUCCUUUGAAUGUUUCAAUUGGCUUGACUUGGUGCAUGUUCAUGCAUGUAGUUGAAACAAUAUCAACAUAGCCUCUAUGAUGUUCGUAUUCAUGGUGAUUUAUAUCCUGUUCAUGCUUGCAUUUAAUGUUAGUCAAACUCAUUGCAUCUUGAUGACCGUUGUCGCUCUCUAGUUGGUCGCUUCCGAGUCUUUUGCUAGCCUUCACUUGUACUAAGCGGGAAUGCUGCUUGUGCAUCCACCUCCAUAAACCCAAAAGUUUUUCCAUGAGAGUCCACCAUACCUACCUAUUUGCGGUAUCUACCUACCGUUCCAACUAAAUUUGCAUGUGCCAUUCUCUAAACCUUCAAGAAAUAAUCUAUUUUGCAUGCCCGAACCGCUCAUGUGGUGACAGAGGGCUAUUGGUAUCUUCCAUGCUAGGAGUGUUAUCCUCGACAUGUGUUUAUUCACAGUCAUUCAUGAGAAAGGGGCCGGUAAUUGGAAUGCCCAGUUCCACGCUUAAAUCGAAAACAUAACUGUAAAACAAGACCCCCCCGGAUUGAUGUUAGUAUGGACGGUACCCGAGGAUUUGGCUAGCCGUGGAGUGUGAUUGAUUGGUGGUGGGGGAGUUAAAACUUUACUUUUCUGUUUGGGAACCGCCAAUAGCAUGAGUAGCAUGGAAGAUAUUGAGAACUCUUGGUCAUUGCGUUGACAAUGAAAGCAUGCCACCCAAAAUUAUUAUCUUUGUUUUCAAAGCUUGAUCUCUGGCACCUCUGCAAAUCAAUGCUUCCCUCUACGAAGGGCUUGUCUAUUUAUUUUCCUAUCGAGUCAUCCUCCUCUUAUAUAAGCACCAAUUAGAGAGCACCUCUGUUAUUUCUAUGCUUUGCUUUUGAUUGAUAUUGAGUAUGACUAUGACUGGAUCUUUGUUGCUGUGAACUACAAUGUUUAGUCAGCCCUUGAUCUUUGAAAGUGCUCUGCAUUUAUGUUUUGCGGUCUCAGAAAGAGCUAGCGAGAUACCACCUAUUCAUAUUGCUUCAUGCUUGUUUUCAUUGAAGUGUUGGUAUUUGAAACUCAUUAUUAUUUGCUCGUUAGCUGAUUAUGCCAUUGAUAUUAGUUUACCGUGAGACCUUUGUGUCAUUUGCUUAUGUGGUUAACUUGCGAUCUUGCUGAAAUUCUGGUUAUGAGUUAGACAUAGUUGCAACAACAAGAUCAAACAGAGCUUGUCAAAGUUUUUCUUUCUCUCUCAGUUUGUCAACUGAGUUGCUUGAGGACAAGCAAGGUUUUAAGCUUGGGGGAGUUGAUACGUCUCCAACGUAUCUACUUUUCCAAACUCUUUUGCCCUUGUUUUGGACUAUAAUUUGCAUGAUUUGAAUGGAACUAACCUGGUGUGAUGCUGUUUUCAGCAGAAUUGCCUUGGUGUUAUUUUUGUGCAGAAAUCAAAGUUCUCCAAACAUCCUGAAAAUUUACGGGGAGCAGUUUUGGAAAAUAUCAAAAAUACCUGCGCCAGAAUCCACCUGAGGGGGUGGGCCAGUGGGCCACAAGCCCCUGCUCCGCCACCACCCCCUGGUGGUGGUGGGCAGGCUUGUGGGGCCCACAGGCCUCUGCCGCUCCCAACUCCAGCUCUAUAAGUUGUCUUUCGUCCGAGAAAAAAUAAAAAGAGAAGUUUUCGUCGUGUUUUCGAUACGGAGGUGCCACCACCACUUGUUCUUCAUCUGGAGGGCAGAUCUCGAGUCCGUCUUGGGCUCCGGAGAGGGGAAAUCGUCGCCAUCGUCAUCAUCAACCUUCUUCCCUCUCCAAUUCCAUGAAGCUCUUCGUCGUUCGUGAGUAAUCUAUUCGUAGGCUCGCUGGACGGUGAUGAGUAGGAUGAGAUCUAUCAUGUAAUCGAGUUAGUUUUGAUGGGGAUUGAUCCCUAGUAUCCACUAUGUUAUGAGAUUUGAUGUUGCUACUACUUUGCCAUGCUUAAUGCUUGUCACUAGGGCCCGAGUGCCAUGAUUUCAGAUCUGAAAUUAUUAUGUUCUCACCAAUAUAUGUGUGUUUUAGAUCCGAUCUUGCAAGUUGUAGUUACCUACUAUGUGUUAUGAUCCGGCAACCCCGGAGUGACAAUAACCGGAACCACUCCCGGUGAUGACCAUAGUUUGAGGAGUUCAUGUGUUCACCAAGUGCUAAUGUGUUGGUCUGGUUAUUUAUUAAAAGGAGAACCUUAAUAUCCCGUAGUUUCCUUUUGGACCCCGCUGCCACGGGAGGGAUGGACAAUAGAUGUCAUGCAAGUUCUUUUCCCUAAGCACGUAUGACGACACACGGAAUGCAUGCCUACAUCACAUUGACGAACGGGAGCUAGCCACAUAUCUCUCCGUGUUAUAGCUAUUGCAUGAUGAAUAUCAUCCAAACAAAUCAACGACCCAAUGCCUACGAGUUUGUCCUACUGUUACUACUGCUGUUACUUGUCUUGCUCUGCUGCUACUACUGUUGGUGCUGCCAUUACUUGUCUUGCUCUGCUUCUACUACUGUUGCUACUGUCGUUACUUGUUUUGCUCUGCUGCUACUGUUUCUACUACUGUUGCUUGCUACUGUUGCUACUUGCUACUGCUGUCACUACUGCUGUUCCUUGCCACUGCUAUUGCUCGUUACACUGCCGAUACCCGCUACUUCGCUGUUACUACUUCGAUGUUCCUAUUGUGCUUGGAGAUACUAAUCUUUCAGGUGUGGUUGAAUCUGACAAAUUCAGCUGCUAAUACUUGAGAGUAUACUCUCACCUCCUGACUGGCGUACCUACAAAUUGGGUCGAAUACUCUACCCUCGAAAACUAUUGCGAACCCACGCGCUGGUGGGCCAUCAACAACAUUCUUCCAGUUUCAUUGCGGGGAGUGCUACCAGCAUUCUUCUGGUGCCGUUGUAGGAGAAGGUUAGUUGUUAUAAGCAUUCGUCUAGCUAACAAUAGAGAUUGCAGGAUCAACCCUUUUCUGGAGCUAUUGUCAGGGAAGCACAGCUGGCAUCAUAGCCCAUCUUACCAAACUGCACGAUAUAGCCACCCUAUUCACUAGUGAGGAAAAGAUCCGCCACUACUACAUGCUCAAGCAGUUUCCUUUCUUGCUACAGGAUGAUGCUAAGACCUGGUUCACUUAUCUUGCUCCUGGUUGUGUGCAUAACCCCCAGGAUAUGGUCUACUACUUCUCUGAGAAAUAUUUCCCUGCCCAUAAGAAGCAAGUUGCCUUGGAGGAAAUAUACAACUUUGCACAAGCUGAGGAAGAGAGUCUCCCACAAGCUUGGGGGAGGCUCAUCCAGCUACUGAAUGCUUUGCCUGAUCACCCUCUUGAGAAGAACGAAAUACUUGAUAUCUUCUAUAAUGGACUUACCGAUGCUUCCAAAGACCACCUAGAUAGUUGUGCCGGUAGUGUUUUUAGGGAACGAACCGUAGAACAAGCUGAGAUUCUAUUGAAUAUUAUCUUGUGCAAUGAGAAUGCUUGGACUAUUCCCGAACCACCUCCUAAGCCAACUCCGAAGAAAAGAGGUAUUCUAUUCCUCAGUCCUGAAGAUAUGCAAGAAACCAAGAAAUCUAUGCAAGAGAAAGGCAUUAAAUCUGAAGAUGUCAAAAAUCUACCACCUAUCGAAGAGAUCCAUGGUCUCGAUAACCCGAUACAGGUAGUAGAAGUAAAUUCUCUGCGUAGGUUUGAUGAGAGUGAUACUCCUUUUGUUAAACCUGCUAGCUUAUGCCUGGAUGAAUUUGAUAACUUUGUUGCCAAACAACAGAGUUUCAAUGAUUAUGUUAGCAGACAAUUGGAAAAGAAUGCUCGUAUGCUUAGUCAUUUAAGUGCUUGUGUGGACAGAAAUGUCAAUGAUCUUAAGCUUCUGAGUAAACAUGCUUCUAUUGUUACUACUCAGGUAGAACAAGUACUUAAAGCUCAGAAUGACUUGCUCUAUGAGUUGAAUGACAAUGCCGUCAGAGUCGUUACUAGAGGCGGUAGAAUGACCCAGGAACCUUUGUAUCCUGAGGGUCAUCUGAAGAGAAUUGAACAAGAUUCUCAAGGAGUUAGCACUGAUGCACCUAGUCAUCCUAGAAAGAAGAAGAGAUAUGAUAGGAACCUGCACGCUAGCAACCCUGUUGCUGCUACCCAUGAGAGUCCAAACGAUGCCUCUAUCUCUGAUGCUGAAACACAAUCUGGUGAUGAACAUGAGCCUAAUGAUGAUAUCAACAGUGAUGUUCAUGAAGAUGCCCAGCCUAGCAACGAUAAUGAUGUGGAGAUUGAACCUAGUGUUGAUCUUGAUAACCCACAACCUAAGAAUAAGAGAUACGAUAAGAAUGACUUUGCUGCUAGGAAGCACGGUAAAGAAAGGGAGCCAUGGGUUCAGAAACCUAUGCCCUUUCCUCCCAAACCAUCCAAGAAAAAGGAUGAUGAGGAUUUUGAGCGCUUUGUUGAAAUGAUCAGACCUGUCUUUCUGCAGAUGCGUUUGACAGAUAUGCUCAAAAUGUCUCCGUAUGCUAAGUACUUGAAAGAUAUUGUGACUAAUAAGAGGAGGAUACUUGAUCUUGAGAUCUCUGCCAUGCUUGCUAAUUACACUUUCAAGGGUGGAACUCCGAAGAAACUAGGUGAUCCCGGUGUGCCCACUAUACCUUGCUCCAUUAAAGGUAACUAUGUUAGAACUGCGUUAUGCGACCUUGGAGCCGGUGUUAGUGUUAUGCCUGUCUCUCUUUAUCGUAGACUUGAGCUGGAUAAGUUGACACCCACUAAAAUCUCUCUGCAAAUGGCCGACAAAUCAACUGCUUUCCUUAUCGGCAUUUGCUAGGAUGCGCCUAUUGUGGUUGCUAACACCACUAUCUUAACAGACUUUGUUAUCUUGGAUAUUCCCGAGGACGAUGCCAUGGCUAUCAUCCUCGGAAUACCCUUUUUAAACACUGUAGGGGAUGUUAUAGAUUGCAACAAAGGCAAUGUCACUUUCCAUGUCAACGGUAAUGAGCAUACGGUGCACUUUCCGAAGAAACAAUAUCGAGUACAUUGCAUCAAUGCUAUCGAAAAAACUUCAUCGAUUCUUAUUAGGAGCUUUGAAUGCCCUAUUCCUCGCGUCAAGAUGAAGUAUGAUUUGCUUGUUGGGGAGAUACACAUCCCCAUUGAGGUGACCUAGUGACUAUUAAAAAAUUCUCCGUCUUCUUUUGCGAUUCGAGGAAGUUUUGUCAAGGGGAUUUGAUCAACCCCAUUGACGGAUUUCUUUCGAUGACCAUGAGAUGGAUGAAUCAAGGAGUCACAAACCUAUGUUCCAAGCUUUCACUUUAGGUUGCUUAGAAGAAAAAUGAUAGAUUUAGUUUAGUUUUCCCUGUUUUCUGUUUUAGCGUCCGGUAAAAAAAUACCCCGAAAAUAAAAGUUCUCCGAACGCUGUGAGAAUCUAGUAUGAUUUUUUCUGGAAUAUUUGACAAAUACUAGGACAAAGAGUCCGUCUGGGGGCCACACCAGUAGGCCACAAGCCCUAGGGGCGCGGGCACCCCCUGGCCGCGCCACCCAGGCUUGUGGGGCCCACAAGAACCCCCUCCACCCAUUCUUGCUCUCAUCCGCUUCUCCUACCUCCAGAAAAAAUCGUUUCGCAGCUCAAACCCAUGUUCUUGCUCCUCUUGCUGGGAUUUUCGAUCUCUUUGCUCAAAUCACCGUUCUCCGAACUGUUUUGGGGAAAUUACUCCUUGGUAAGUGACUCCUCCACUGGUCCAAUUAGUUUUUGCUCUAGUGCCUUAUACUCCGCGUAUUUUUGCUGCCUUGGUGACCAUGUUCUUGAGCUUUGCAUGCUGAUUCUAGCUGGUCUCGAGUAGUUUUGAUGCGUAAUAUGGCCUCAAGGCACUUGUUGGAGUAGUUGCUACUAGUUUAGUUGAACCUUGUUCACCUUUCCUUUGGGUCACUAAAAAUUUCAAAAAAGGAAGAUGUUCAGGAGAAACUUUCAUGGUGGUUCUUCAAGCAAGAGAGGUCCCCGUCUUGCGAUUCGGGAGCGUGAUCCUUACCAACGUAGGGACGCGCAGGUUCAACCAUGUGAAUGGCCUUCUGAUGAAUUUAUGAUUGAGGCAGGCUUCAAAGAUGAGUUUGAUGCACUUGUUCACAACGUCGGAAUCGAAGAAUUCAUGUCUAAUAAAUGUGAACAGUAUGUUGCUCUCACUGCCUCUUUUGUUCGUAGAUUCAAAUUUUCAGCUGGCCGUGAGCCAUCGGUACUGUUUGAUCUCUAUGAUAAAUCGUAUACCAUGGAUUUAGAGGAUUUCAGUAGAAUUUGCAAAAUACCUAUUUGGGGUAACCUCAAUGAUCCUCCUAAAUCUCCGGUUAGAGAUUUUUGCGCUGGUAUUACGGUUGGAGAAACUAGAGACAUUACGCAAGCUACCAUGGGGAGUAUUCUUUUUUCCUGCCUUGCAUUACUUUGCCCUCUUCAUAGGCAGAUGCAUUAAUGGCAAGAUUGAGCAUUGCCACCUCUGCGCACCCGACCUUAGUAUCCUUAAGAGCGCAGUGACGGGUGACAAAAGCUUCAACAUGGGAGCUAUUAUAGCAAGGAGGCUGAAUAAGAAUGCUAUUGAUUGGGAUUUCUUUGGUGGGAUCUAUGCCACCCGCAUAGCAAAUUUUCUUAGAGUACCCAUCCGCGAAGGAGAUCCCCCGCUUCAUACAGCUUUCCUUGGUCGCGUCACUAUGACACGCUACCAGUACCUUGAGAGGGAUGAUGAAUCCCUCCUAUACCGAUUGAUAUUUAACCAGCAGCGUGUUUUCCAUAUUACCCUUCUUGCUCCUGCUCUCUUUGACUUUCAGGUAAAACAACGAUAUUACAUAACCAGAGGAGAGGCAGAGGAGUAUGAGAGGGAGGCGACGAGUGCUCGUCUCCGUGAGGCAGCUAUUCAGGCAGUGGCUGCAGCGCUCCCGUAUAACCCCGAUUAUGAUUUUGGGUUUCGCCAGGACCAUCCUUGGGAGUAGACCAAGUUAGGCCAAAAGCCUAAGCUUGGGGGAGUACGUGUUCUCACCGACUUUACAUUCUUGCUUUUCCUUUCACUUUGUUAGCCGGUGUUCACACUUUGCCACUGUAUCAUCCAUGCUAGUUUUACUUUCUUUUUCUCGUUUUCUUUUCGUGUCUCUGUCUAGUUUGAGAAAACCAAAAAGAUUUUCUUUUUCUUCUUUUGCUUGUUGGGAGCUUUCCCGUGUAGAUAGUUUUCUUUUUCUUUGGGUCAAGGUAGAAGAUAUUGGUUACAAUGUUUAGUGGCUCUUGCAUGCAUACCUGCUUACCUUUCAAAGAGCCAUAUUACUUUAUCUUCUCCUUUGUGUUUGCCUGUAGAUUCCAGCGUUGUCCAAUGCACGAGCACUCUUAUUAUUGUUCACAUCAUUCGGUUGUGCAAGUGAAAGGCAAUAAUGACGAUAUAUGAUGAAGUGACUAAGCCUGGAAAAGCUGGUAUGAACUCGAUCUAUUUUGUUUUUGUAAAUAUGACUAGCGCACUGUUCCUAGUUCAGCUUUGUUGUGAGAGAAACAUGUUUGCAAUGACAACUUAGAGAUCAUAGUUGCUUAUGCCAUGCUUAUUUAGCUAGGAGCUUAUAAUGGUUUGCCUUGGUUGCCAACAUGAAUGUUGAGAUGACUAUGAUGUUGUAUGAUAGGAUGGUAUCCUCCUUUGAAUGUUUCAAGUGGCUUGACUUGGCGCAUGUUCACGCAUGUAGUUGAAACAAAAUCAACAUAGCCUCUAUGAUGUUCAUGUUCAUGGUGAUUAAUGUCCUACUCAUGCUUGCAGUCAAUGUUAGUUACUCUCAAUGCAUUUUGAUGACCGUUGUCGCUCUCUAGUUGGUCGCUUCCCAGUCUUUUGCUAGCCUUCACUUGUACUAGCGGGAAUACUGCUUGUGCAUCCACCUUCCAUAAACCCAAAGUUGUGCCAUAUGAGUCCACCGUACCUACCUAUCUACGGUAUCUACCUGCCGUUCCAAGUAAAUUUGCAUGUGACACACUUUAAAUCUUCAAGAAAUAAUCUGUUUUGCAUGCCCGAACCGUUCAUGUGGUGACAGGGGGCUAUUGGUAUCUUCCAUGCUAGGCUUGUUAUCCUCGAUAUGUGUUUAUUCACUAUCAUUCACGAGAAAGGGGUCGGUAAUUGGAAUUCCCAGUUCCAUGCUCAAAUCGAAAAGAUAAUUGCAAACAAAACUCCCCCAUGAUUGUUGUUGGUAUGGACGGUACCCGAGGAUUCGGCUAGCCGUGGAGUGUGAUUGAUUGGUGGUGCGGGAGUCAAAACUUUACUUUUCUGUUUGGGAACCGCCUAUAGCAUGUGUAGCGUGGAAGAUAUUGAGAACUCUUAGUCAUUGCAUUGAAAAUGAAAGCAUGCCACCCAAAAUUAUUAUCUCUGUUUUAAAAGCUUGAGCUAUGGCACCUCUGCAAAUCACUGCUUCGCUCUGCGAAGGGCCUGUCUAUUUAUGUUCCUGUUGAGUCCUCCUCCUCUUACAAAAGCACCAAUUAGAGAGCACCUCUGUCAUUUUUAUGCUUUGCUUUUAACUGUGUUGAGUGUGACUAUGACUGGAUCUUCAUUGCCUUGAAUUACAAUGUUUAGUUAGGCCUUGGUCUUUUAAGGUACUCUGCAUUUAUGUUUUGCGGUCUCAGAAAGAGCUACCGAGAUACCAUCUAUUCGUACUGCUUCAUGUUGUUUUGAUUGAAGUGUUGACAUUUGAGGCUUGUUAUUAUUUGCUCGCUAGUUGAUUAUGCCAUUGAUAUGAGUUUACCGUGAGACCUAGAUGUCAUUUGCUUAUGUGGUUUGCUUGUGAUGUUGCUGAAAUUCUGGUUAUGAGUUAGACAUAGUUGCAACAACAAGAUCAAACAGAGUUCGUCAAAGUUUUUUUUGGCUCUCUCAGUUUGCAACUGAGUUGCUUGAGGACAAGCAAGGCUUUAAGCUUGGGGGAUUUGAUACGUCUCCGUCGUAUCUACUUUUCCAAACUCUUUUGCCCUUGUUUUGGACUCUAAUUUGCAUGAUUUGAAUGGAACUAAUCUCGACUGACGCUGUUUUCAGCAGAAUUGCCAUGGUGUUGUUUUUUGUGCACAAAUGAAAGUUCUCGGAACGUCCUGAAAAUUUAUGGAGAUUUUUUCUGGAAUAAAAGAAAAAUACCUGCGCAAAGAUCCACCGGAGGGGGUGUGCCAGUGGGCCACAAGCCCACAGGCCGCGGCCACCCCCCUAGGCCGCGCCGUGCAAGCUUGUGGGGCCCACAUGGUACCACCGCCCCCAAUCUCAGUUCUAUAUCUUCCGUUUCGCGUGGAAAAAAAAUCACAGAGAACAUUUCAUCGCGUUUUGCGAUACGAAGGCGCCGCCACAUCCCGUUCUUCAUCUGGAGGGUAGAUCUGGAGUCCGUUUCGGGCUACGGAGAGGGGAAAUCGUCGCCAUUAUCAUCAUCAACCUUUCGGCAUCGACAAUUCCAUAAUGCUCUUCAUUGUUCGUGAGUAAUCUCAUCGUAGGCUUGCUGGACGGUGAUGAGUUGGAUGAGAUCUAUCAUGUAAUCGAGUUAGUUCUUGACGGGGAUUGAUCCCUAGUAUCCACUAUGUUCUAGAUUUAUGUUGCUACUACUUGGCUAUGCUUAAUGCUUGUCACUAGGGCCCGAGUGCCAUGAUUUCAGAUCUGAACCUAUUAUGUUGUCACCAAUAUAUGUGUGUUUUAGAUCCUAUCUUGCAAGUUGUAGUCACCUACUAUGUGUUAUGACCCGGCAACCCCGGAGUGACAAUAGCCGGAACCACUCCCGGAGAUGACCAUAGUAUUAGGAGUUCAUGUAUUCACCGCGUGUUAAUGCGUUGGUCCGGUUCUUUAUUAGAAGGAGAACCUUAAUAUCCCGUAGUUUCCAUUAUGACCCCGCUGCCGCGGGAGGGAUGGACAAUAGAUGUCAUGCAAGUUAUUUUCCCUAAGCACGUAUGACUACAUACGGAAUACAUGCCUACAUUAGAUUGACGAACGGGAGCUAGCCACAUAUAUCUCCGUGUUAUAGCUGUUACAUGAUGAAUCACAUCCGUCACACUCAUCCAUCACCGAUCCACUGCCUACGAGUCUUUUACUACUGGUCCUCGCUACGUUACUUUGCCUAGGCUUGUCCCUUGCUACAAGAGGGAUUGGGCCACUUUGCUGCUGUCACUACUGCUGUUACUUUGCUGCUACUGUUGCUACUGCUGUUACUUGUUACUUUGCUACUGCUGCUACUACUAUUCCUUGCUACCCCGCUAUUACUUGUCGCAAGACAUUGUUGGCGCUAACAUCCCGUCAACAAGGCUUUUUCUGGCACUGUUGCUAUCAUACUACCUUGCUACGGAUACUUUGCUUGCGGACACUAAUCUUUCAGGUGUGGUUGAAUUGACAACUCAACUGCUAAUACUUGAGAAUAUUCUUUAGCUUCCCCUUGUGAGCGAAUAUAUAAAUUUGGGUUGAAUACUCUACCCUCGAAAACUGCUGCGAAUCCAUACGCUUGUGGGACUUCAGUCCCCUUUCUCACUUUGCUACCUUCUUAUUCCUCUCGCCCUCCUUCUAGUGCCUUCGACGCUCGAGCUCACCGUAGUCCAAACUGCAAGAAGUGACUUGGCUGCGCUGUUGUAGUCAUUGGAGCUCGUCCACUCCGCUCGCGGUUUUCUCUGGGAGCACACCACCUUGAAACGUCCUCCUUCGUGGAUCUGGUGAGUAGCAUUCCCUCCAUUAGGUUUUUAGGUCUUCUUUAGAGUUCUUCGGGUUCAUCGGAGUUCUUGCUAGCGGUAGUCGUAGAUCCAAUAACUCCACGUCUUUUAGAAAAUGUAGUUUUGGCCCGAUCUCCGUUGUACUUCUGUAAUAUAAUAGAUCCAAAAUACCUUACCCAUGAGAUCCUGCAAAUAGUUUGCUUUCGACACCUCCGCUGCUCAGGAUAUUUAUAUUUAUUUUUACUGUAUUUAUGAGAUAUGUUCAUUCUUCUAUCUCGAUAGAAAGUAGUUCAUGCUCAUGAGAAAAUUCGCUAAGUCCCUUUGUCCAUGUUUAGCUGUCUUACUGACAUAUGCCAGCUUGUUUUUUCCAAACCAAUCCAUCAAAAUUAGUUUUGGCUUAUUUGCUGGCUUACCAUGCUUCUCGUACUUCAUUUGUUUAUUUCGGCGAGUUAUACGCUUGCAUGUAGCUCAUCCAUAUGCCGGCUUAUUUUUCUUCCUUUUCUCUUUGUAGUUGAUCCGUAAUGGCUCCCAAAACUAGCAAAGUCUGGUUGGGUAAGAUCUCAAGAAUCCGUACUUACUUUAGAGAACAUCAUCUCCCAAGGUUUCUUGCCGACUCAAGAUGAAAUCAGUUGGCGAGCACCCGAGGAAGAGUCUUCUCCACGACCUCGCCAAGGAGAAGUCGUGGCUUUCACAGAUCAUUUGCUAAGAGGCUUUUGCCCCCAUGGGUCAAAGUUUUUCAAACACCUUCUGAUUUUUUCAACCUUAGGCCACAUGAUAUUGGCCCAAACUCAAUGACCAACAUCUUCCAAUUCCAAGUCCUUUGUGAGGUCCAUGUUCAAUCGAGCCAACUAUCACCCUUUUCAGUGAAUUCUUUUACAUCAACCAUCAGACUGAACUGGAAAACGGCCCCAAUGUAGAACUUGGUGGGAUACCUAUUCAGAGAAGGAAGAACAACCCUUUCUCUGAGUCAAAAUUGGCGAUUCAUCCCAAGGUUUGGAAUAAGACUUGGUUUUACUGCAAAAAUACUACCCAUGAAGACCAAUGUUUUUGCCGAGUUAUAGAUUGGACCAACUUGAUGCAUCCACUAAAUUUCUGUGUUGGCGUGCUGAUGAGGAAAGGAAAUAAUUGGCACCCGUACUUUUGAUACUGAAAGGUUUGACUGCUCAUGGCCUCACCAGAAUCAACUUAGUCGGGUGCUGGAUAAGUUAGAAUUCAUCCGCUUUGUUUAAGGGGCGAUUUGAUGGUCAACUAUAGUGAUGAGCCAACAGAAGUUCAACGCUUCAAUGAGGACAACUUAUUUGAAAGUGACAUCAAUAAAGCUACCAAGAAGUUUUUUGCUGACUCAAAGAAGAAGUGUAGCACGACCGUGUUGGCUCCAUUUUGCUUGACCAACCCGGUUCCUCCUGUAAGUUUAUUUGAACUUUCUCAUUUUGUUUUCUUUGUUACGAUCUUCUCGUUUAUCUUGCUCAUUUUCCGGCGUGUAUGAUAUCUAUAGACCAAAUCUGAUUGGUGGAAAGCUAGAGCCAGGAAUCUUGUUCCCCCUCAGUCUGAGCAGGCGGAUGACCCGGCUGGAGGAGCCGCCAAUGAUGAAGAAUCUAAGGUAGAGCGUGACUCGCUUGUCUGCCUCUUUAUCGAACUUGCCGACGCUUCUUCUCCCGAGGAUAACUCUGAAGCUAGUGAAGCCGGCAAUGCUGAGGUAAUUUUGAUCUCCUCCAAUUCACCAAAACAGUUUAUACCUAAGAGGACAUGACAAGCUGUCAGGAAAGUUAAGUUUUUGAACCCAGAUGCUUACUUAGAUCCAAACUUUAUUUUGAAGAAAAAUCAGCAUGGUGGACAAUCGAAACGCAAGACCCGGAGUAGCUCCGGGGAAUUAUUCACCGACUUAUCUCAUGAGCCAGCCACCCGUAAGCAGCGUCUCGAGGUGCCCCAUAGUCCCACUCUUUCUCGCAUGCGAGCUGGCCUUUUUAAGCAACCACUCAGCCCUUCUGCUCAAAAUAUCACGAAUCACCGCCCUCUUAUGGCGACUCAACGGGGACGCAAGUGCCUUCUUUCACCAUUAACCAUGGGUAAGUGUUUUAUCAAGCCGAUUUUAUUUCCUUGGUCAUCACUUGUCAUUUAUUUUACUUAAUAUUUGCUUCCAUGAUUGUAGAGCUAAGGCUAUUGUGAGGAAAAAGAUUGGUGAAUCAUCUUCUGCUGCCAAGGACUCCAAUGAUCAAGAUAUACCAAUGGAUGAGUCGGUGAUCCAGACUGCACCUACUAGUCAGCGUGGCACAAAACUGGGGUCUGAGCCGGUUCAAGGGGAAGAGACGACUCACACUAAGGAGCCGGUCAUUAUGGACACAUUAAUUGAAGAACAAAUCAUGGUACAUGACCCGGCUGCAGAUGUUAACCCAUCAAAUCCUUCAUUAAACGUGGGUAGCACUGCCCCAUCAACCGCCAUGGAUGAUAUAGAUAUCACUAUCAUUGAUGAGGCAUCCAAGGGUGUUGAAACUUCAAAUGUUUUGGCCAAGGUGUUGACUAAAAAUGAUUCGGAAACUUUGGACAAAGGGAAGGCCAAGCUGGAGCUUCCAAAUGUUGCCAGCCUUGAUGUUGAUGACUUGCAUCAACAAUAUCUGACCCAACUGUUUGAGAGCCGGGAUGCUAAAAUGAGUUUAGACAACACACUGAGAUGGAAAUAUGAUGUAAAAGACUUAUCCUUUUCCUAGUUAUCGUAUAUACUCUUGUAUGCCCCAAGGAUGAUGAGUGUGAUGAGUGUGGUCUAUGGUGAGUUCACCAUCAAAUUUCGUGUAAGGUCGAAAGUUGAUGGUAUUAAGUGGGCUUUAGUGGCUGUAUAUGGGGCGACACAAUUGGAGCUCAAACCUGAUUUUCUUGCAGAUCUAGUGAGAAUCUCCGGAGAUGAAACACUACCAAUUAUGGUGGGGGAGAUUUUAAUAUUAUUCGAAGACAUAAUGAAAAAAAUAAUGACAAUUUUGACACAAGAUGGUCAACGAUGUUCAAUAUGGUUAUUGAGAGUCUUAAUUUAAGGGAGAUUGAUCUUUCUGGGAGACAAUACACUUGGGAAAAUUCACUACCGGUACCAACAUAUGAGAAGUUGGAUCUGGUUCUUACUAGUGUUGAGUGGGAGCAGAAAUACCCAUUAGUCACUGUUCAAGCUUUACAGAGGGCAAUCUCAGAUCACACCUCUUCUGGUUGACUCAGGGGAGGCCAAUCAUAGGGGCAACAAGAAUGUCUUCUCAUUCGAACUAAGCUGGUUUGAAAGAGAAGGUUUCAUGGAUCUAAUUACCAAUGAAUGGGUUAGAGACUUAGGUGGAUCCACCAGUGUGGAAAUUUGGCAAAACAAAAUCAGAAAUUUGCGCUGAUUCCUUAGAGGAUGGGCGAAAAAUCAAAGUGGUACUUAUAAGAAAGAAAAAGAAAGACUAACGGAGCUGAUUGAUGAACUUGACGUCAAAGCUGAGUAUGCGCAGCUAAAUCUUAUUGAAAGGAAUAUUAAAAUUGAUGCUGAGAUUAGAUUGCAAAAAUUACUGAGAGAAGAGGAGAUGAAAUGGGCUGUAAGAGCUAAGGUGAUGAAGGUGAUUCAUGGGGAUGAUAACACUAAGUUCUUUCACAUGAUUGCAAAUGACAAACAUCGAAAGAAGAUAAUUACUCAGCUAGAGAAAGAUGAGGGAACUAUAAUAGGUCAUGAAAACUUAAAGUUAUAUAUCUCAGAAUAUUAUAAGAGUCUUUUUGGUGCACCAAAUGAGAUGAUGAUCUCUUUGGAUGAAACCAAUGUUCAGGAUAUACCUCAACUCAAUGAACAGGAGAAUGAGGUUUUAUCAGCUAGAUUCACAGAGAAAGAGGUGUAUGAUGCAAUAGUACAAAUGAAACACAAUAAAGCACCAGGACCAGAUGGGUUCCCUGCAGUAUUUUAUAAAAAGUGUUGGCAUGUUAUUAAGGGGGAUCUAAUGGCUAUGUUUCAUGAUUUAUUUAAUGGUUGACUAUAGUUAUUCCACCUUAACUUUGGAACAAUCACGUUGUUGCCAAAAAAGGUGGACGCCAUGCGAAUCCAACAAUUUAGACUUAUUUGUUUACUCAAUGUGAGCUUCAAGAUUUUUUACUAAGACAUCCACCAAUAGAUUAACGAAGAUAGCCAAUUCAGUUGUCCAACCAACACAGUCUGUGUUUAUGCGUGGGCGACACAUCUUGGAGGGUGUUGUUGUUUUGCAUGAAACGCAUCAUGAAAUUCACAGAAAGAAACUAGAUGGGGUUAUCUUUAAAGUGGAUUUCGAAAAAUCUUAUGAUAAAGUUAAGUGGUAUUUUCUUCAACAAGCCUUACGUAUGAAAGGUUUCAAUGAAAAGUGGAGACAUCAGGUUGACACUUUCAUUCAUAAAGGGAGUGUCGGAGUUAAAGUUAAUGACGACAUUGCUCAUUUCUUUCAAACCCAUAAGGGGUUCAGACAGGGGGAUUCAAUGUCUCCAGUAUUGUUUAAUAUAGUAGGAGAUAUGUUGAGAAUACUCAUUGAAAGAGCCAAGGACAAAGGACAAAUAGGCGGUCUCAUUCCACAUCUGGUAGAUGGAGGUAUGUCCAUUUUACAAUAUCCGGAUGAUACAAUUAUUUUCAUGGAACAUGAUAUGGAGAAAGCGAGGAAUAUGAAAUUAAUAUUGUGUUUAUUUGAACAACUAUCGGGGUUGAAAAUUAAUUUUAACAAAAGUGAACUCUUAUGCUUUGGGAAGGCAAGAGAAGAGCAAGACGCUUAUCGACAACUAUUUGGUUGUGAAAUGGGUUCGCUACCUUUUAGCUAUCUUGGGAUCCCUAUUCACCAUAGGCGGUUAACAAUUAAAGAAUGGAAAUGUAUUGAAGAAAGAUUUGAAAAGAAACUAAGUUGCUGGAAGGGCAAGCUUAUGUCAUAUGGAGGCAGGUUGGUUUUAAUAAACUCUAUUUUAACAAGUCCACCCAUGUUCCUUUUGUCUUUUUUCGAAAUACCUAUAGGGGUACGGAAAAGACUGGAUUUUUAUAGAUCUCAUUUCUUUUGGCAAACUGACGAGAAUAAGAAAAAAUACAAACUAACACGUUGGGAUAUGAUUUGUAGACCCAAAGAUUAGGGGGGUUUGGGAAUUGAAAAUUUAGAAGUAAAGAACAAAUGCUUGCUUAGCAAAUGGUUGUAUAGAAUAUCCACAGAGACAGAGGGUAUGUGGAUUCAAAUUUUAAGAAAUAAGUAUCUAAACUCAAGAACUCUAGCUCAAGCUACAAUUAUACCCGAUGACUCACCUUUCUAAAAAGGGUUAAUGAGGACAAAGAUUAAUUUCUUCCAAAGGGUGAAAUUUAUUGUAGGGAAUGGUACCUCAACAAGAUUUUGGGAAGAUACUUGGCUUGGGGACACACCACUUGCUUUACAAUAUCCCAUGCUAUAUAAUAUUACACAACGUAAGCAGGACUAUGUGUCCACAGUCUUACAAUCGAUACCUAUCAAUAUGCACUUCAGGCGAGCUCUAGUAGGAGCACGUUGGGAGGCAUGGAUGCAUCUGGUAAGAAGACUUAUGCAUGUACAACUAUCAGAUCAUUCAGACAGCGUUAGAUGGAUUUUAACUGUCAAUGGGGUAUUCCCAAUAAAGUCCAUGUACACAGAUCUGAUUAAUUCACGACCUUUAGCUAGAUAGUUGCAUAUUUGGAAUAUUAAAGUGCCGUUAAAGAUUAAAAUUUUUAUGUGGUUUUUACACAAAGGUGUGGUAUUAACCAAAGAUAAUUUAAUUAAGCGUAGUUGGAGAGGUAGAUCUAAUUGCUGUUAUUGUGAUCAACAUGAAACAAUUAGACACUUGUUCUUGGAAUGCCCUCUCGCAAAACUACUUUGGCGCACUGCCCAUAUAGCUUUUAAUGUGAUCGCACCUACAUGUAUCAAUUCAAUUUUUACAACGUGACUCAAUGGAGUGGACGUUACAAUAUCUAAACUUAUUAGAAUUGGGAUAUGUGCUCUUUUGUGGGCUAUAUGGAAUACCAGGAACGACAUAAUCUUUAAUGGUAAGAAAUUCAACAUUUUUUUGCAGGUCAUACUCCGAGCAACGUCCUGGAUCCGUACGUGGUCAUUACUCAGUCCUGCGGACAACAGGGAGCUUAUGGUUACUGGGUGCAACCGAUGGGAGAUGGCCGCAUGGGUUAUCUUCAACCGGUUUGGAUGGCGUGCUAGUAAUAAACUAGGUGUAUAGGCAUCAUAGUGUGCUAUUAGUUAUGCCGGAUGUGGCAAGUUCUUAAGAGUUGGUUUAUUUUCAGAUUCAUUUUAUUUUCAUCUUUCAGACUUAUCUCGAACUAUGUUGUUACUUUAGAUUUUUAAUAAUAUGGCUGCAUGCAUCGAUUGAUGCACAGGCCGGGGGCUCGUUUCCUCCUUUUUUAAAAAUGCCCCAAGGAUGAUCUCUUUCGAUAAGUAAUGAGUUGGGUCUUGUUAUAAUUCUGAAAACCAACCAUAGCUCUGAAAGGAUCGGCUCAUCUGUUUGAGAUGGUCGGGUCUUUCUAUAUUUUUUAAGAACCAAUCGUAGCCCCCAAGUACUGGGUAAUUAUGAUAAUAAUGAGCCGAUGCUUUUCGUAAAGUUUUGCAAGAUAAAAAUGCCAACUGUAUGCUCGAAGGGGCGAAUUAUCUCUUUGGGAUAGCCCGAUCUUGUUUGCACUAAGCACUUAUCAUUUCCAAAGUGCAAAACAGGAUAAGUAGCCCCCAAGUGCCAUGUAGAGUGUGUGCAACUACAUGGGAGUUUAGAUAAAUUUUUUGUGUUUUGUAUCCCCCAAGUGUCGGGUCGUCUGCUUGCGAUGGCUCACGGCUUGGUAUACUUGUUCUCAUGUCUUGGAUAUUUACAGGUUGCAAGUCUUGUUAAAUGAGGCAAAAUCUCUUGCACCGGCUUGCAAAAAAAAAACCUAAGGAGUAGCAUAAGAUUAAGAUCGAUGUCGAACUUUUGGCGGCUCGUCUUCAAGACUCUUUGAGCAAAUCAAAUGAGCACUUGGAGAAAACAACAACGAAAUUUGAUGAAGAAAAGACCGGUUUAUUGCAACAUGGUGAAGCGGCUGAAACACAACUUGGUGCGACGAAGGAAGAUUUACUAAGUCUUCAACGUCACAAUACCAAUAUGAGUGAGGCCAUCUUUGGUGAGUGAUGAUAUCAUAGUCAUCUGAUGGGUUUACAUUAUCCGCCGACUCUUUUUUAUGUAUUUUUCUUGUUCGCAGGCAGGAAAAGUGACAAUCGUGUGAAGGAUCCAAUAAUGAAACUAAAGGCUAUUUACACAUACUCGGAACAGAUGUUCACAUGAUGUGUUUACACUAUGAAAUCUAUGACCAACGAUAUCAAUACACCUAACCAACUUAAAAGCCUGCUCAUAGAUUUGUCGACUCUUCCUCGACAGAUCUAGGAGCUGAAGAAAUCAGUGACUCGUGCUAGAGUGGGUGCUGAUCUUGCUCGCGCCAAGGCGUAUCUGCGAGAGUUAGAGCCGUCUGUCAUGGAAGGCGGGUUCCUGGAAUACAAUCUCGAUGACUCAGAAUUCUCACACCAGGACUUCGCGAGAUGUCGAAAGGAGACCCGUAUUCUGGCCACUCAACUUGCUGAUGAGUUGGACCUGACAAAGUAUCAACCCGGCUACUCCAACGAUAAUAAGUGUGUCAACCCGCCAUAAUAUAAAGAAGUUGAACUUGUUCCUCCUUGGUGUAAGAAAGAUUUUGCUCCUAAUGUCAACCCCUCCAUUAUCUCCCGCGGUGACUCAAUUUUUCCUGCUAUAUCAACUAUCGAGUGGAUGCAAAAAGACCCCAGAUCGAGGAAGACGAGCCGGUCGAACAUGACCCGGAGGACCAACAGAUGGAGGUAGACCCGGAGGCUGCUUGAGCCGGCACACGGGAGUAGCUUUUUGUCCUUUGUAAAAAACUUCUCAUGAUUUUGCGGAUCUAAAUCGAGCCUGUAAUAGGAGUAGACCACUUGAGCCGUGUGUUGUGCCAUCGUGCACAUAAUACUUUGUGAUAUGUUAUCUGUUGUCACAACUUGAUCAUUGGGUUUGCUUUGUAUAGCAAGUGCUGUAUAUAUUUGACAAGUCAUCCUUCUUCUGCAUACCAUGAGUCGGUAGAAUGAGAUUAUGCUUAGAUAUAACAAAGUUCCUGGUAUUUUUUACCAAGUUAAAUCUAGUCAUCAUGUGAUCCAGUGAAAUAAUCCGAGGUGUCUAUUAAUGACCCGACAAAAAUAAAGUAAGAUUUGUACCUGCAAUUCAGGAUAUACAAAAGAGGGAUAUAUUAUUGUAUAAUUUAUAAGUCGGCUUUUAAGACUGGCAUCGAGACUGUCUUUCAAGGCCCAAGUCUAGCUUCAGUGAAUCUCGCGUGAUAGCCCAUGGUUUAUCCUUGCUCGCUGUAAGCCAGCACUCAUGUGACUUAGGCUGGUGUCUUAACCUAGAUAAGUUCAGGGUCCAUAUGGAUUGACUUAUCAAGUGUACACUGGAUCAUCUUUUUGGAGUGACAUCUUGCAAACAGGAAGGUUUAACCAAGUUUAUAAUGGCAUUUAGCCGAGUCAAGUGGGAUAUUAAAGGCUAACUCAUUGACUCAGGAACCCCCAAGUGACUUAUGUUCAAACAAUAAAGACUCAUGCACAAUGGUUUGAGAUGAAACGACAAAGACCCCGAGUUUCGGGGGUGCCGACAUGAUCUUAUCGAACACAAAGGUAUAUACAUAUGUAUGUACAACAAUGUGGAGACAGAGCCUCUAAGUAUAAUAAGGCCAAAGAUGAGCAAUGUUCCAGGGCCUCUUGGUUUCCUCUUUGGAGGUAUGGGAUUUCUGGUGCUCCCAUAUGUCAACUAGGUAAUAUGACCCAUUGUUGAGGUUCUUGUUGAUGAAAAAAGUCCCUUCCCAUGGUGGUGAAAGUGCAUGCAUGUUUGGUCUUGAAUCAAACGAAGCACUAAGUCAGCUACCUCGAAAGUAAGGCUGCAAACUCUACGGCUAUGAUAGCAACGUAGGUCUUGUUGAUAGAUAGCUGGUCUUGAGGCUACGAGAUCAUGUUCCUCAUCUAAUGCAUCAAGGGAGUCCUAAUGAGCUUGUUCAUUAUCAGCCUCUACAUAAGAGGUAACCCUAGGGGAAUCGUGUGUGAUGUCGCUUGACAAAACAACUUCUACUCCAUAAACUAAGAAAAUGGUGUAUAUCCCGUGGAUUUGGUCGGAGUAGUAUGUAUGCUCCAAAGUAUUGAUGGAAGUUCUUCAACCCAACAACCAUGAGUUCGCUUGAGGGGGACCAUAAGCUCGGAUUUGAUUCCGUGCAAUAUCUCAUGGUUAGCUCAUUCAACUUGUCCAUUAGACUGUGGGUGUGCAACCAAGGCCAAAUCAAGCCAGAUAUGCUUUUGUUGACAAAAUUGUUCCAUUGAUCCCUUGGAUAAGUUUGUGUUGUUAUGUGUGAUGAUGCUAUGCGGAUAUCCAAAAUGGAAAAUCAACUUAAAAAAAUAGCGUUGUCUCGGCAUCACAAUUGUUGAUCGGUUGUGCUUCAACCCACUUCGUGAAUUUAUCAACUGCCACCAAAAGGUGGGUCUUCUUAUCUGAUGACGGAUUGAACGAACCGACCAUGUCAAGCCCCAGACUACAUACGGCCAAGUAAUUGUUAUCAUCCGUAACUCUUGAGCCGACACAUGAGCUUUUCGUGCAAUUUUUUGACUACGGUCGCACUUUCGCAAGAUGUCUUCAGCAUCAACGUGAGGAGUAAGCCAGUAAAAACCACGUCGGUAUGCCUUGGCCAACAAUGAUCUUGAGCCAGCAUGAUGACCACAAUCUCUGGUGUGGAUUCCAUUAAGGAUCUCUCGGCCUUCUAUAGGGGAAAUACAACAUUGAAACACAUUGGUAAUGCUUCGUUAAUGUAACUCGCCAUUAACGAUAGUCAUGAACUUGCAGCGCCUGAUAAUGUGUCGGGCGAUGAUUUCCUCAUCACGGAGCUUGCCAUAGGUCAAAUAAGCUAAAUAGGGGCUAGUCGAAUCAGGGAUAGCAUGAAGAGUCGCCACCAACUGUGUCUCUGGGUCAGGAAUAGCUAUGUCUACUUCUCAUGGCAACUUGACCGAGGGAUUGUGAAGCACGUCAAGGCAAACAUUGGGUGGAACCAGCUUAUGUUGCGAGCCGAGUCAUAACAAAGCAUCUGCAACCUCGUUAAGCCGGUGAUCAAUGUGAUCAACUCGAUAACCUUGGAAAUGACCUGCAUUGACCGUGACUAUUCGUUGGUAAGCCGACAUGACAUGAUCUUUUGAAUACCAAGUUCCCGAUACUUGCUGAGACACUAAAUCCGAGUCUCCCAAAUACCUGACCCGACUUAAGUUCAUGUCCUUAGCCAUCCAAAAGCCAUGGAGGAGAGAAUCAUACUCAGCUACAUUGUUAGUACAAGUGAACAUGCACCAUAAAAUAUAACAAAAAUUGUCAUCUCACAGGGAAGAUAGAAUAACUCCAACCCCCGAGGCCUCCAACUGCCUGGAGCCAUCAAAGUGUAUUGUCCAGUAUGUGUUAUCCGGCCUCUCCUUGCGGACUUGUAACACAGUCCAAUCAUUAACGAAGUCCACCAAUGCUUGGGAUUUAAUGGUUGUCCGAGGCACAUAUUUCACCUAGUGUGGUCCAAGGUCGAUCACCCAUUUAGUGAUCCGACAAGUAGCCUCUCUAUUUUGUAUGAUAUUCCCAAGAGGAGCUAAACUCGCCAUGGUGAUUGGAUGUUCUUGGAAAUAAUGUUUGAGCUUACGACUAGCCAUGAAGACACCGAAUACCAGCUUCUACCAAUGUGGGUAUCGUUAUUUUGGUAAGGUCAAAACUUCGCUGACAUAAUAGACAAGACGCUACACUGGGUAGUCCUUCCCUGCCUCCUUGCGCUCGAUAACAACUGAUACACUCACCGCUUUGUUAUUUGCAGCAAUGUAUAGGGGCAUAGGCUCUUUGUCAACUGGGGUGGCUAGGAUGGGUGGCUUGAUGAGCUACUUCUUGAGGGCUUCAAAAGCGUCAUUAGCAACAUGAGUCCAUACGAAAUUGUCAGUCUUUUUCAACAAUUGGUAAAGAGGAAUUGCCUUCUUGCAGAGGCGACUUAUAAACCAGCUCAAAGUGGCGAUGUGACCCGCCAUGCGUUGGACGUCGUUGAUAUUAACAUGCUUAGCAAGUGAGGUUACUGCGUUGAUCUUGUCCGAGUUAGCCUCGAUAUCACACUCUAAAAAUAGGAAUUCCAGCAAUUUUGCUGUAGGAACACCAAAAACACCAUUGGCCGGCUUAAGCUUCAUUCUAUACAUGCGAAUGUUGUCAAAAGUUUCUGUGAGGUCAUCCAACAGAGUCUCCUUCUUCUGAGAUUUAACCACAAUAUCAUCGACAUAAGCAUGAACAUUGCACCCAAUCUGAGCGUGCAUGUAGUUCUGAACACAACAUUGAUAUGUAGCACAUGCACUCUUAAGCUCAAAAGGCACGGAAACAUAGUAGAAAGCUCCAAAGGGGGUGAUGAAAGCCGGAUUCUAUUGAUCCUCAACAACCAUCUUAAUCUAACGAUAAUCGGAGUAAGCACCCAAGAAACAUAAACCCUCACAGCCAGCCAUAGAAUCAAUAAUCUGGUUAAUGCGGGGAAGAGCAAACAGGUCCUUAGGACAAGCUUUGUUGACAUAUGUGUAGACAACACAUAUACGCCAUGUGCCAUUCUGAUUUAAAACAAGCACUGGAUUUUCCAACCACUCUUGGUGGAAAACUUCAACAAUGAACCUGAUAUCUAGGAGCCGAGCCACUUCUUCACCGAUAUCUUUUCGUCUCUUCUCGUCAAAAUGAUAGAGCUAUUGUUCAAUAGGUUUCAUCUUAGGAUACACAUUAAGGUGGUGCUCAGGGAGUUCUCUCGGCACACCACGCAUGUCAGAAGGUUUCCAUUCAAAGAUGUCCCAAUUAUCAUGGAUGAACUCGAUGAGCGCGCUUUCCUAUUUGGGAUCCAUGUCUGUCCCAAUGGUGAACUGUUGGGAUGAAUCACGUGGAGUAAAAUCAACUUGCUUGGUAUCUUCUCUCGGCUUAAACUUGAGGGCGGGUUCAGACUCUGUGGUGGGCUUUGAUACGUCUCCAACGUAUCUAUAAUUUUUGAUGGUUUCAUGCUAUUAUCUUGUCAAACUUUGGAUGUUUUGCAUGCUUUUUAUUUAUUUUCUCGGACUAACUUAUUAACUUAGUGCCAAGUGCCAGUUCCUGUUUUUCCAUGUUUUUGACCCCUUUCAGAGGAGAUUUUGAAACGGAGUCCAAACGGAAGAAAAUCCCCGAAAAGAUUUUUUUUGGAACGGAAGAAGAUCGGAGAACUUGGGAGCCAAGCCAGAAGAGCCCCAGGGGCCCCACAAGCCCCCACCCUGCGGCCAGGGGGGUGCCAUCCAGGCUUGUGGGCCCCCAGGAGGUCCCCUGAUCUAGAUCUUGUGCCUAUAUAUUCCCAAAUAUUCCCAAAAAAAAUCGAUAGAUCAUCACAAUCGCUUUUCCGCCACCGCAAGCUUCUGUCUCCGCAAGAUCCCAUCUGGGGCACGUCCUGGUGCCCUGUCGAAGGGGGGAUUCGGACACAGAGGGCUUCUUCAUCAACACCAUGACCUCUCCGAUGAUGCGUGAGUAGUUCACCAUAGACCUACGGGUCCAUAUCUAGUAACUAGAUGGCUUCUUCUCUCUCUUGGAUCUUCAAUACAAAGUUCUCCAUGAUCUUCAUGGAGAUCUAUCCGAUUUAAUCUUCUUUUGCGGCGUGUUUGUCGAGAUCCUAUGAAUUGUGGAUUUAUGAUCAUAUUAUCUAUGAAUCUUAUUUGAGUUUCUUUUGAUCUCUCUUAUGCAUGAUUUCAUAUCCUUGUAAUUCUCUUUGAGUUGUGGGUUUUGUUUGGCCAAGCAGAUCUAUGAUACUUGCAAUGGGAGAAGUGCUUGGUUUUGGGUUUAUACCGUGCGGUGACCUCACCCAAUGACAGAAGGGGUAGCGAGGCACGCAUCGUGUUGUUGCCAUCAAGGGUAAAAAGAUGGGCUUUUCAUCAUUGGUUUGAGAUUAUCCCUCUACAUCAUGUCAUCUUGCUUAAAGCGUUACUAUGUUCAUCAGGAACUCAAUACACUAGAUGCAUGCUGGAUAGCGGUCGAUGUGUGGAGUAAUAGUAGUAGAUGCAGAAAGUAUCGGUCUACUUGUCUCGGACGUGAUGCCUAUAUGCAUGAUCAUUGCCUUAGAUAUCGUCAUGACUUUGCGUGGUUCUAUCAAUUGCUCGACAGUAAUUUGUUCACCCACCGUGAUAUUUGCUAUUAUGAGAGAAGCCUCUAGUGAACACUAUGGCCCCCACGGUCUACUCCACACCAUAUUUUCAGCCUUACACUUUUUAUUUCGUUGCACUUUCCACCUUCAGAUCUCACUUUGCAAACAAUCUUGAAGGGAUUGACAACCCCCUUUGAAGCGUUGGGUGCAAGCUUGUUUGUGUUUGCGCAGGUACUUUGGACUUGAUGAGUGUCACGCCCAAGAUGCGACCCUAUCCUCAAUUUGGCACGAAGGCCUNNNNNNNNNNNNNNNNNNNNNNNNNNNNNNNNNNNNNNNNNNNNNNNNNNNNNNNNNNNNNNNNNNNNNNNNNNNNNNNNNNNNNNNNNNNNNNNNNNNNUUUUAUUUAUUUUUUGGGACUAACUUAUUAACUCAGUGCCAAGUGCCAGUUCCUGUUUUUUUCCAUGUUCUUGACCCCUUUCAGAGGAGAUUUUGAAACAGAGUCCAAACGGAAGGAAAUCCCCNNNNNNNNNNNNNNNNNNNNNNNNNNNNNNNNNNNNNNNNNNNNNNNNNNNNNNNNNNNNNNNNNNNNNNNNNNNNNNNNNNNNNNNNNNNNNNNNNNNNNNNNNNNNNNNNNNNNNNNNNNNNNNNNNNNNNNNNNNNNNNNNNNNNNNNNNNNNNNNNNNNNNNNNNNNNNNNNNNNNNNNNNNNNNNNNNNNNNNNNNNNNNNNNNNNNNNNNNNNNNNNNNNNNNNNNNNNNNNNNNNNNNNNNNNNNUCGAAAGUACUUUUCCGCCGCCGCAAGCUUCUGUCUCCGCAAGAUCCCAUCUAGGGAACGUUCUGGUGCCUUGCCGGAGGGGGGAUUCGGACACGGAGGGCUUCUUCAUCAACACCAUGACCUCUCCGAUGAUGCGUGAGUAGUUUACCAUAGACCUACGGGUCCAUAGUUAGUAACUAGAUGGCUUAUUCUCUCUCUUGGAUCUUCAAUACAAAGUUCUCCAUGAUCUUCAUGGAGAUCUAUCCGAUGUAAUCUUCUUUGGUGGUGUGUUUGUCGAGAUCCGGAGAUCUAUCCGAUGUAAUCUUCUUUUGCGGUGUGUUUGUCGAGAUCCGAUGAAUUGUGGAUUUAUGAUCAGAUUAUCUAUGAAUCUUAUUUGAGUUUCUUCUAAUCUCUCUGAUGCAUGAUUUCAUAUCCUUGUAAUUCUCUUCGAGUUGUGGGUUUUGUUUGGCCAACUAGAUCUACGAUUCUUGCAAUGGGAGAAGUGCUUGGUUUUUGGUUCAUACCAUGCGGUGACCUCACCCAGUGACAGAAGGGGUAGUGAGGCACGCAUAAUGUUGUUGCCAUCAAGGGUAAAAAGAUGGGGUUUUCAUCAUUGGUUUGAGAUUACCCCUCUACAUCAUGUCAUCUUGCUUAAAGCGUUACUCUGUUCAUCAUGAACUCAAUACACUAGACGCAUGCUGGAUAGCGGUCGAUGUGUGGAGUAAUAGUAGUAGAUGCAGAAAGUAUCGGUCUACUUGUCUCGGACGCGAUGCCUAUAUGUAUGGCAGAAAGUAUCGGUCUACUUGUCUCGGACGUGAUGCCUAUAUGCUAGAUCAUUGCCUUAGAUAUCGUCAUGACUUUGCGUGGUUCUAUCAAUUGCUCGACAGUAAUUUGUUCACCCACCGUAAUACUUGCUAUUUUGAGAGAAGCCUCUAGUGAACACUAUGGCCCCCAGGGUCCACUCCACACCAUAUUUCCAGCCUUACACUUUUUACUUCAUUGCACUUUCCGCCUUCAGAUCUCACUUUGCAAACAAUCUUGAAGGGAUUGACAACCCCUUUGAAGCGUUGGGUGCAAGCUUGUUUGUGUUUGCGCAGGUACUCUGGACUUGACGAGACCCUCCUUUUGAAUCGAUACCUUGGUUCUCAAACUGAGGGAAAUACUUACUGCUCCUGUGCUGCAUCACCCUUUCUUCUUCAAGGGAAAAACCAAGCAAGCCCUGCCUCUGUCAACGUGUCAAUUUCUGGCGCUGUUGUUUGUGGGAUAGCACUGACGUGGUAAAGGACCACACGCCAGGGUCCUUGGUGCCUGGUCCUCGUAAAUGAACAAACACCAAGGACCUUGGCCUCUGAAUGACGUGACCCAUAUUACCAAAAAGUUGUUAUGUCAUUCGCUCGGGCCAAACGCCAAGGUCCCUGGCGUUUGGUCACUUACCAGGACUAGACGCUAGGGUGCCUCCUAUGUGGCCGUUUGCCACAUCAGUUGGGCAAUGGACCGGCCGAUCGUGCGGGCCAUGGGCUAGAGGCCAAGGACCGUGGCAUCUCUCGUGCAACCCAGACAUCACGGAUGUCGGCGUGACCAAAACAGGCGAUUUUUAGAAUUUUUUUAAACAAGGUCACUAUCAAAUUUUGUUNNNNNNNNNNNNNNNNNNNNNNNNNNNNNNNNNNNNNNNNNNNNNNNNNNNNNNNNNNNNNNNNNNNNNNNNNNNNNNNNNNNNNNNNNNNNNNGAAAUGAAGCCUACUAACGGGUCCGACCCAUGACAUUAUGGCCUAUGAAAUACAACCAAAAACACCCUAAGGCCAUCUCCAAUGGCAGCGUGUAAAAUGUCACAUUCAUCCACGGACAAAGUACCAAUUUGUAAACAUGGGUAUGAGAGCCCGUCAUCCAACCGUAAUGGUAUACAUCUGGUAUUUUCAAAAAAACUAUGCACGAUCAAAUAGUCGAGGGUACAUAUGUUCAAAUAGCCNNNNNNNNNNNNNNNNNNNNNNNNNNNNNNNNNNNNNNNNNNNNNNNNNNNNNNNNNNNNNNNNNNNNNNNNNNNNNNNNNNNNNNNNNNNNNNNNNNNNUCCGUACCAAACCAUAUAUUACACCAGUUUCAUCCACAUGCAUACAAAGUUUCAUAUAUAUCCAUAUACUACAAUAGUUUCAAUACAAGCUUCCGUGAAGCCAUGCNNNNNNNNNNNNNNNNNNNNNNNNNNNNNNNNNNNNNNNNNNNNNNNNNNNNNNNNNNNNNCAUGGUACAAGAAAUCAUCUUCAAGCAUUCCAUCAAUAUAAUCCAAGCUUCCCGUGAAGUGAAUGUAAUCUGCAAAAUGACAAAUAAGAAAGUUAGAAGAAUAAUAGUAGAUGAAGAAGUAUAUAGGUUAUUUCAGAGAGAAAUUAGCUAAGUAUAGGCCAUUUAAUAGCUAAGUUAGGUGGAAUAGGUCAUCUUGGAGCUACAUAGCCUUAUUAUGUCAUUUAGGAGAGAACUUAGCUAAGUAUAGGUCAUUCUAGAGCUAACUUGGAUAAAAUAUGUCAUUUUGUAGCCAACUAUGAUUAUUAAUCCAUUUUGACCUUAUUAUGUCAUUUUGGAGCUAAAGUAGUCAUUUUAAUGAGCUAACCAAGGUUCUGAUGAUGUUUUUACCUAACUAUGCUAAUUAUGUCAUUUCGGAGGAUAAUUAGCUAAGUAUGUCUUUGUUGGGGAAAAUAACCUACGUAGAAGAAGAAAGAGAAGUAGCAAGAUGAGAAGAAGAAGGAGAAGAAAAAGAAGAAGAAGAAGGAGGAGGAGGAGAAGGAGGAGGAGAAGGAGGAGGAGAAGGAGAAGAAGAAGAAAAGAAGAAGGACAAGAAGAAGGAGAAGAAGGAGGAUAAGAAGGAGAAGGAGCUUCUCUCCUACUUCUCCUUCUCCUUCUUCUUCCUCCUUCUCCUUCUUCUUCCUCCUUCUCCUUAUUCUUCUCUUCUUCUUCUUCUUCCUUCCUUUCAUUUUUCCUCUUUCUUCUCCUAUUGUCCCCUUCUUCGGGCUAAAUUAGCUAAGAAUGCCUUUUUGGAGCUAAUUAUGUCAUUUCGAGGAUAAUUAGCUAAGUAUAGGUCAUGUUUUAUUAAAUAGACCAUUUUGGAGCUAACUAAGCUAAUUAUGCCAUUUAGGUGGAAGCCUAGCUAACUAUAGGUCGUUUCGGAGCUAAAUUGGGUAAAAUAGGUCAUUCCGGAGCAAACUAUGCUUAUUAAGCCAUUUUGCAUCUAGCUAGGCUAAUUAUAGGCCAUUUAAUACCUAAGUNNNNNNNNNNNNNNNNNNNNNNNNNNNNNNNNNNNNNNNNNNNNNNNNNNNNNNNNNNNNNNNNNNNNNNNNNNNNNNNNNNNNNNNNNNNNNNNNNNNNACUGUGUGCCUGUUUUGGUUUUUUGACAUUUUUUCGGAGAAAGGUUUUCUUUGACAUCUCGAGCAACUAUGUUAUAUGCUCAUAAUGUUUGGCACAAUCUAGGCCAACAGUCUACUAUGCUACAAUUUGACUCAUUUAUGUAUUUUUUUUAAAUGUGAGUGCUUCAUUAUUAUUAUGCUAUAGUCCAACCCAUAUUACUUAUAUGUNNNNNNNNNNNNNNNNNNNNNNNNNNNNNNNNNNNNNNNNNNNNNNNNNNNNNNNNNNNNNNNNNNNNNNNNNNNNNNNUGUGUGCCCCUUAUAAAAAAAUGGCAACUUACAUACAUGUCCCAAGAGUUUGUUGGGUGGUGACAUGGUAUCCAAACCCAUAUCUCCAAAGUUUUUUUAGUGAAGUUUGUGCUGGUUUUGGUUUUCAACAUCGUUUUAAGGUUUUCUUUUGCCAUCUGGAGCAACUAAAUUAUGAUCAUGAUGUUUGGUGCACAAUCUAGGCCAGCAAUCCUUACUAUGUGACGAUACAAUGUACUGGGAGUAUCCGACACGCGGGGAAGACGACCCAUCAGUGGGCUUGAUGUUCUAGUAGGCUGAGGCGUAGCCCAGUCCCCUCAUCC
rnacentral:lncRNA from 1 species